rnacentral:lncRNA from 1 species
CGAUUUAUUGAUAACAAUUCUAUUUUUCAAACAUUAGGAUAUUCUAUAAAUUUAUUGUCUUUUCAAAAAAAUAAAAAAUUACUACAACACAAUUGUAGUAGUGAUAUUUUGAGUAAAUACUACAAAAUUUUUUAAUUAAAUAAUUAUAUUUUAUUUUGUAGCACAUUCUAUUUAAAUAUAUCGAAGCCGGUAGAAUUAAUUUCAAAAUAUGGAUCAAAUCCGAUUAAAUUCAAUGUCCCAUUAACAUAUGAUGUGACAAGACGUUCACGCGACAUAACAUUGACCUCCCUAGAGCAGGUCGGAAUCCGGCGAUCCCCAACGAACAACGACCCCACGCCUCUUCUGUUUUCUCCGUCCCACUCUUUAUACGAUUAUUGUCGCCACCGCCGGAGGUAAUCGACCGGUCAGCGGCGACGCCACUAUUGCCCCACCUCAUCUCUCGUUCUCUCAUGGUUUCUUGCAAAUCAUCAACCCAAUGCACGUGUUUUAUACAUACAUAAGAGGGGAAAGAGGAGGACGGCAGUGAGGGUACUCAGAUCCGCCGCUAUCGUUAGUUCGCCGGUGUAAUGAACCUUGCCGGAAACUGUGGCGAAGAGCUUCAUGUCUCUCAGAUCCGGCGAGCUAUGUUACCCAGCAACUUUAUUGUGAUGUUACUGUUAUUUAUUUGUUAGAUCUGGGAAUUUUUGGUCAAUAAUAUGUUGUUUUUCGACAAAUUUCUUUGAUGCUGUCCUGCCGGAGUCGGGUUCUUUUUGUCGAUGUUCGUCGUUACUGUGGUCUUCUCCUAUUCUUCGUUCGUUUAUUUUACAGGUGCACCAGAAAUUCGCCGGGUUUGGCGGGAGAAUAAAUUCUCCGAGCUUGCUGCGUUUUUCUGUCCAUCGUCGUGUUCUUGGUCCAUAACCCCAUCGUUUUUCUGCACAUUUUGGGGUUGGAUUUGGUUAUUGUCGUUUCGUUUAGCCUGCUGUUUAUUACAGUUGAUAUUUGAGAUCUUGGAGGCAUUUCGUUUGCUUUUCUGUCGAUGCUCCAUUGUGAUGUUCAUGACUGUGAUUGAACUAUAUUUUUAGAUUAUCUGUGUUGGGUAUAACGGAUUCCUUUUCCUUUUCCGAACAGAUGCUGCGCUUAUCGGACUAUGAUAGAUUUGGAUAAAUGUUAUACCACAAGUGUGGGCCGAUGAGAAAAUAACCUCUGAGUUAUUGAGUCCACUGACGCCCCGAAUGAACCUUCCAAUUGGGCCCGAAAUAAUGAAACGACGAUGAAAGUCAAAAAAAAAAAACAUAUGAGAAUGUGAAUGUCUGUGCUUCAGGAGGCAACACGGCCACCGAAAUUGCUACCAAGUCAGCGUUCGCGUUCUAAUGUCUUAUUGAUAUAUGGUAUACACCAUCCGAGCAUCCAAAAAUAUUUUAAACAUCAUUUUCUAAAACAAUUUUCAAAAAAAAAAAACAUUUCGAAUCAUUUUCAAAAGAAAAGCGAUCUUUUAUAAAAAUAUUUUCAAAGGAAAAUCAUUUCAAAAUUAGUAAUAUUUACUUUAUCUUACUUUAUAUUAUCUUACUAACAAUUUUGUUUCUCGUUUGCGAAGUACUAUCAUAUGAAGUCGCUUUGGAAGACUAUACUCGGAGAUGAAGAUGAACCCUAUCAAAUUCCCACUUCGUACUUCCCGUUAUUGGAUAUACCAAAAACGUAAAGUAGUAGAUAUGUGUUUGCUUGCUUGCUUUAAUAUUAUAUAUUUGCUAACCACAUAGAAAAUUGCAUCUAGUUAAUAAUCAGUAAUCUGUAAUAUUGUAUGUUACGCUAGCACGUAUGCUAGGUUGUUGAAUACAUUCAUAACGUGAUUGAUAUACAUACAACUAGUUAAAUUAUAUAUACAUAAAAAAUGAAAACAUGUCAUCUUUCAAAAAAUAAAAUAAAUAAUUUUGUCUUUGUCUAACAAUUGUGUGAGUAUCUUUUGAAUCACUUUAUAUGUAAAUUAUUCUUUAAUUGACACAACUUAAGUAGAAAAUUAUAGUCGGACUAUCAUACUAUUCUUUGAGAAACUUAGGCCUUGUAGUCAUUCGGGUUUGGCUCACAUAAUUGUGUUCCGAGACCAUGACUCUAAAAAUAGUUUUUAGUUACUUAUCGAAUGAUAAUUCAUUGUUCGCACAAAUAUAUUUUCUUAUAUUGAUACAAUAAUUAUUUUAUGUCAUAAGCAUUUUGAUAGAUCUUUCCUAUACAGUAUUUAUUAACUAUUCAUAAAAUCAAUUAUUUAGGUUUAUUCAUUAUAUAUUAAGAUUGCUCAAACACCUUUCUUUUUCACUUUUAUCAAUCAUUUAGAGUAAAUUUUUAUUUUUAUAUUUUUAGCUUUUCACUUAAACAGGUAAUCUUUGUUCAUAAAGCAAAUUCUUCCAUAUUAUAUUUUUAGUUAAUAUUCAUUUAGUCAAUUUACACAUAUUCUUGUGUAUUUUCAUUUCUUUAGCAACUUGUUAUACGUGUUCAUUCAUUUCAAAACAAAUGUUUCCACACGUUACUCAUUUAAUUAACAGUGCAUGACAUAGUGUUUGUUCAACAUUUAAUUUGUCUUGUUUAUUGUUAUUGUUCUUUAUUAUAUUUUUAUAGUUAGUCAAAUACAUAUAUUAUCCAUUUUUAUCUACUUGACCCAUUCUUUUAAAAUACCAAAUUCCUCCUUUGGGUCUUGUGCACCGAUUUCAAAGAUUGUAAAUUAUUUUAUACGCUUUGUUUAUUGACUUUUACUACAUGUGCAUGUGAAUAUAAACAUUUUAUUAUCUGCUUGCUAUAGCGAUUGUCCUCUAUUUAAUUUGACUUUUCUAUUUUUCUUGUGAAUAUUAAUCAACUCUCUUUUUUCCCUAUUCAUUACAUAGAAGAAGAAAAAAAAAAGAACUCUUCAAAGGUAAUUCAUUUUUCCACUCUUGAUCACUUAUUUUCUAGACACAUUUUCCUAGAAUAGUUGAUCUUGUUUAUAACUAAAUUCUUUCGAAAUUAUUCCUUUCAACUCAAAGUUAUUUGGUUAAUUUAUAAAUAUUUUACUUGAUGAUACACUUCACUUAGUCAUUAAAUAUUUUUAACUCUUUCAGGUACUUUCUUUAUCAACAUCCUUGAGCAUAUUCUGUUGCACACAAAUAUCUCAAGUUUUACCAUAUGACGUUCACAUCCAAUCAUUUGUCAUUUUAAACCAUUUUAAUAAUUCUUUGUAAAAUAUAGAAUUAAUCAAUCUUUUGAACCUUUCCUCAGUUAUUUGAUUGAGUCCGCAGGAAUCACAUUUUGUUGAUCUUGAGGGAUGCCUAACACCUUCCCCUCAAGAUAACUUGAACCCUUACCUAGAAUCUCAAUAAUUUCGCAGACCAUCUUUUAGUGUACAUUAUAUAGUGUAUAGGUGUCAUAGUAUAGCUUAAAUACUAGAUGAUGACUCUAAACUUUAAUUAACCUUGUAAACUAUUAUAAGUUGUAAUUUCUUUUGUCUUGUGCAAACUUGGGUGCAACACCAAGUAUCAGAGAUAUUGGACUCAAAUAGAGUUAGAUUCUUCAUCCCGAGGAUUCAAGGUAAAACUGCUUGAUCAUCGCAGUCCUUUGGUGUCCCUUCCUUUUUUAUUGUACUCUCAUUUUGUUAUCCGAAUAGUAUUGUAUUUCGAUUUUUGAGAUCUUUCUAUGUAUUUAGCUAGAGUUCGUGACUCCGUAUUACGUAGUCUUGGAAUGUUGUUGUGAUUAUUGCCGCAUAGGCUUGUUUCACCUUUAUUUUAUUUUUUAUAAUAAACUAUAUUUUGAAAUAUCAUUGUUAAACUGGUUUAAUUGUUAUAAGUAAUCGACUUACUUAGUCUUAGAGACUAUGUAACAUUACGAUGCCUAAGGAGAGAUUUUGGGUCGUGACAAGUUGGUAUAAGAUCUCUAGGUUCAUAGGUUCUACGAGUCACGAGUAUGUUUAUUAGAGUAUUGCGGAUCGGUACAUAGAUAUCGGUACUUAUCAUCGAGAGGCUACAAAGCUAUUAGGAAAAUUUUACUUCUUUCAUUCAUGUUGUGCGGAUUUGUUGAUUCAAAGUUUGAGCCUUUGUAUCUAUAUUCUCUCACAGAUGGCGAAGACAUGCGCUACCGGAUCAGCGACCAAACACCUGAGCCCCAUGCUAGAGCCGCAAGAGGCAGGAGCCUGUAAUAGGAUGAAGAGGGGCACGUGCCGCAGCUCGAUCGCCUACUAAAGCAACAAUUGAGGAGCCACCAGUAGCUCUGAUUGGGGAACAGGCACCGAAGGCGCCUGUUGUUACCCCCGGACUUCAUGAGACUUUAGCGCAGUUCUAGAGCAUGUUUGGUACAUUGGCUCAGGCAGGAUUGUUCUCCGUUGCACCAGCUACUUCAUAGAUUAGGGGAGGAGCUCAGAAUCCCAUUGCAUGUACUACAGAGUAGCAUGCUCAUGUUGGUCAUACUUCGGAUAUGGUGUCGGUACAAUCUAUUAUUCCGGAUCAGGUUGAGAUCAGGCCAAAAGCAUUAGAGGAGGAGCAGAAGAGGCUUGAGAGGUUCAAGAAGUAUGGUCCACCUACUUUCAGUGGCACAACUAUCGAGGAUGUGCAGUAUUUUAUAGAGAAGUGUCACUGAUUCUCUGCACCAUGGGUAUUAUGGAGGUACCGGAGUUGCUUUUACUACAUUUUAGCUGUCAGAAACAGCGUAUCAAUGGUGGCAGGCUUAUGAGGAGGGUAGGCUAGCUAAUUCAGCACCACUCACUUGGACUCAGUUUUUAGAGAUAUAUUUUAGGGAAUUUGUUCCCCAUACCCUCAGGGAUGUGUGGCACAUGUAUUUCGAGCAGCUGCAAUAGGGCACCAUAACGGUGUCGGAGUAUGCCAUCAGAUUCAGUGUGCUAUCCCGUUAUGCACCUACUUUGGUUCCUAGGGUUAGAGAGCGAGUCCACAGCUUUAUCGAGGGGCUAGGUUAUGGUUUUAGAUUUAGCAUAACUCGGGAAUAAGAGACUAAUACUCCAUUACAGCAGGUUGUGGAGAUUUUCAGGAGGUUAGAGCGUAUUCGGGGUGAGGAGAGGGAGGAUAAGGAGGCCAAGAGGUCUCGAAAUUCUGGAGGAUUUAGUGGAUUCUACUCUUCAGCUAUGACCCAUCAUGGCGGAGGCUCAGGAAGUCGUCCAGUCCAGUCCGCACUUCAGACAACGUAUGGUGCUCCAACUAGUCAAGGGCCUCAGGGUACUCAUAUAGGGCAGUCAUCUUUUAGUGCACCACCUGCACGAGGUUCAUACAUUGGUUAUUCUAUUUAUCAGGUAUAUACUCAGUACCAGCAGCCACGCCUGCAGAGGGGUUGUUAUGAGUGUGGCGAUACUAGGCAUUUCAUGAGAGAUUGCCCCAAACUCGAGAGAGGUGGAUUUCAUCAGAGCACACAGACUAUGGGCUGCAUUCUAGUUGCUACUCCACCUGUAAAGCCGGCUAGGGGUGGACGACAAGCAGGUAGAGGGAACCCUAGAGGGGGAGGCCUGGACCGUUGAUAUGCUUUCCAUGGUAAGGCUGAAGUCGCUGCACCAUAUGGUGUCGUUACAAGUAUGGUUCCAAUAUGUCAUGGAUGAGCAUCCGUCUUAUUUUGUUUCGGCCCUAUUUGUCGAAGUGAGUCCUCCUAUCUUGCUUCAUAUAUGUGUGUGUUUCAUGAUUAUUGUAUUCUGCUAAUGUGUUUGCACCAGUUGAGAGAUUUAAUAGUUGUAGCUCGUGUCUAUCAUUUUGGUUUGUUCACUAUUAAGAGUUAUGAUACUAGGAUGAACUUUCUGUUACUCAUUACGGUAGGUUUUGAUGUGAUUUCUGGAUGGUUUGAUUAGGAUUUGUGAUUUUGGUGCUCUACUAGUAUGGGAAGUCUGUUACAUGUUGUGAUUUUGUUUCGCGGAAUUGAGUUUAUGGAAGGUUUCUAUUGGUGUGAUGUGUACUCUACUUGUGAUUCAGAUCUAAGGAUGGGAUCCUCGUAAUUCUAUAUGGAUUAAUAUGUCUGGAUCGGGAUACGUGCCGCGGUGGAGUCAUAGUAGUAUGAGAUCCUUUUGAUUAGUUCAUAUGUUUUGUUUCUCCAUUAUGGAAUUGAUUCGUAGUAUGAUACCGAUGGGGAGUUGUACCAGUUGGACUUAUUUGAUAGUUCUCUCAUGUGUUUCUCUUUCCAUAUUCAGUCAUAUUCACGUUGUGCUUAUUGGGUUUAGCUUGCGAGGUAUGUGCUCGGGUGGCGUUGGGUGUGACUUGUUCAUUUAGGUGAGUGGUUAUGAGUUCUACAUGUUUCUUGCAUCGUUGUUAGCGUUGUGAAGGUUUAGGGCAUUGUUUUAGUUGAUAUGAGGUUAUUUGUCGGUGCUGGGUUUGAUUAUGGGCAGCUAUUAUGGUCAGAGAUGUUGUUAUGGGCAUUGUAUUAAAUCGGGCGGUCAUACAUUGUUAGUGUAUGCAUGAGUUGUGGUAGUUGGUUGAGGUUGAUACAAUGUGUUUAUAUGGGAAUCGUGUCCUUGAGAAAUGAUCGGAUGGUGAAAAUUUUGGUUCUAAGGUUUAUCGGUGUGGGUUGAAGGAAUAAUCUUUAGUUGAGAUGGUAUUGUCGGCCUUAUGUGGAUUGGGGCGAUGUGAAGAUCACCCAAAAGUAUAUGUAUGUGAGUUCAUUCAGUGAUUUCAUGGCUUUUGAACGGUUCUUGGCACGUUCGAGGAUGAACGUUUGUUUAAGAGGGGGAGAAUGUAACGAUCCGACCAAUCAUUUUGGGAACUAGCAUUCCGUUCGGUGGCUUAUGGUCUCGAAUAGCUUCGUAUUGUGUAUUAUGAAUUUUGUGUGUGAUCGAGUUUGGUUUUCGAAUGAUUCGAGAUUGAUUUGGAAGAAUAAUUCUUGCUUUAGAAGCUUAAGUGGUAAGAGUUGAUCGGAGUUUGACUUUUGUGUAGAUGACUCCGAAAUGGUGUUUGGAUGAUUCCAAUAGCUUCAUAUGGUGAUUUUGGACUUAAGGUAUGUGUCCAGAUUUUGAUUUGGAGGUCCAUAGGAUAACUAGAUGCAGUUUGGCAAAAGUUGAAAAGUUGAAGGUUUGGAAGGUUGAGAGGUUUGACCCGGAGUUGACUUUGUUGAUAUCGAAUUUAGAUUGUGAUUCUAGGAGUUGGUAUAGCUCCAUUGUGUCAUUUGGGACCUGCAUGCAAAAUUUGAGCUCAUUCCAAAUUGGUUUGAUAUGUUUCGGCAUUUUUUUAGAAGUUGGAAGCUCAUUAGUUCAUCAGGCUUGAAUCGAUGUGCAAUUCGUGGUUUCGGUGUUGUUUGAGGUGAUUUGUGUUGGGAAACGUAUCAGGCUAAUAAAAGGAAAAAAUAUUUGAAAGAGAAAAUCAAUAAAUUGCACAAGACAAAAUAAGAGAAGAUUUACGUGGUUCAGCAAUUUUUGCCUACUCCACAACCACACAAAGAAUAACUCUUUAUUAAUUGAAGAGAAAAAUAAGAAGUUGAGGGAUGAUAUGCAAAUGAAAAUGCAUACACCUUUUAUAGACAUUUGAAUGUCUUAAUGACGUAAGCGCUUACAUCAAAAGAAUGCCGAUGUAAGCGCAUACAUCAUAAGAAUGCCGAUGUAAGCGCUUACAUCAUAAGAAUGCCGAUGUAAGUGCUUACAUCAUAUUUUCAUCUCUUUUUGACUUUUCUUUCUUUUGUUUUAUCUACUUUUCUUUCUUUUGUUUUAUCUACUUUUCUUUCUUUCACAUACAACAACAAGUUUGCUCCUAUCAAUUUCCCUCUCAAACCUAUGUUACAACAAGAAAGAAAUUAAAUUUUUUUUUGCUAUUCUCUGGUGGUGCCUUCACGCUAUCAGUCUUGAAUGCUAAUUGAGGCAGUGCAUAGCCUCAGUUUGUUAGCACCGACAACUUUGGUCAACAUGUCUGACGGGUUCUUUGAUCCUGAUAUCUUCUGCAGGGAAAGAGUUUCUUCACUUAUCAACUCUCAGAUAUUAUGAUACAUCAAUUGGAUAUGCUUCGAUCUUGCAUGAAACGCUGGAUUUUUGGCAAGAUGAAUUGCAGUCUUGCUAUCGCUGAAAAGCUCACAAUUGUCCUACUCUUUACCUAGCUCUUUAAGAAAAUUCUUGAGCCAAAUCAUCUCUUUUCCAGCUUCUGAUAUUGCCAUGUACUCUGCUUCAGUGGUAGAUAGAGCAACACUUUUCUUAAGUCUAGACAUUCAGCUAACAACAGUACCACCCAAGGUGAACACGUAGCCUGUGAUACUUUUUCGACUAUCUAUAUCGCCGCCUAAAUUUGCAUUAGCAAAAUCUUGUAAGAUAAUAUUGCUUCCUUUAAAACAAAGUGCCAUAACUGAGGUGCCUUUCAGAUAUCUCAAUAUCCAUUUUACACCUUCCCGCCUUGUUACGUCCAAGCCCAGGUUCGAGGCGUGACAAUCCAGAACCUCAAGAAGAAGCCAACAUAGACCUUUCAUAAGUAUGCUACUCGCUGGAGAUCAUAGGCCUCCAAGGUGAGGCCACCACUAGAAGAAGAGCAAAUGAACAAGUUCUUUGUCAGAGCUCAAGAUCCAUAGUAUUAUGAAAGAUUGAUGGUUAUAGAGAAUCAUAAGUUCUAUGACAUCAUCAAGUUGGGGGAAAGGAUAGAAGAGGGAAUUAAGAGCGGUAUGGUGACCAAUUUCGAGGCACUGCAAGCCACCAAUAAAGCAUUAAAGUCUGGAGGUAUUUUAAAGAAGAAGGAAGUGGGUGUCGUGAUGGUAGCCCAGAGCCCUAAGUCUCCCAUUACCUAUCAGACACCUCAACCAACAUAUCAACCCUCAGCUCCAAAAUACCAAUAUCCUGCCACUACCUACCAUACCUAUAAUACCCAACCUGCAUAUUACAUUUCUCCUCCUUCCGCCCGCCAAAACUACCCAAAGCCACGACCAAACUUUGAUCGCAGAACUCCGAGACAAUACACCCCUUUCACCGAGCCCAUAGCCCAGCUAUAUGAGAGACUAAAGGUCGCUGGUUACGUCACUCCCAUUCCUGCCGCUGAUGUUAAAAAUCCUUCCCAGUGGCUUAACCCCAACAAGACUUGUGCCUACCACUCAGGCAUGAAGGUACAUACUAUCGAGGAAUGCCGCAUGAUGAAAGAUAAGAUACAUACACUGGUUGACACUAAAGUUAUACAAGCAAAGGAAUCCAUGCUGAAUCUACGUAAUAACCCUCUUCCUGAUCACAGGGGAGAAGGAGUGAAUGUGAUAGAAACUAAUGAAGAAUGGGAUCAGGAAGGAUCCAUCGGGAUUAUCCGAGAAGGGAACACUCCCAAAAUAUCUCCUGUCACACUCUCACGGAUUGUGGUGCAAACCAAGGCACCAUUUAAGGUCGAGGUAGCUACGCCCUUUACUGUGAUGGUAGCUCCAACACCGUCUUACAAGUCUAAUAUUGUUCCAUGGGAUUAUGUGGCAGAGGCAAGAAGAUAAGGAAAAGCCAAGAUGGAAGAGACAAGUGUUGCACAAGGAAUGACUAGAACCGGUAGGGUUUAUACACUAGAAAGUAUUGGAGGAAUGAGUAAAGAGACCACACCAAUACCACCUAUUGUGGAGACAGGUGUUGAUGAUUUUUGGAGGAAGGUAUAGGCGAGGGAAUACUCUAUUGUUGAUCACCUAAACAAGACUCCUGCCCAAAUAUCUAUCCUGUCACUAUUGUAAAACUCAAAUGCACACAAGAAUGCCUUGAUGAAAGUGUUAAGUGAAGCACAUGUACCUACUCGUAUCACUAGUGGAAAGAUGGCGAACAUGGUGGGGAAGAUACUAUAGAGUCACAAGAUUACUUUCCACGAAGAUAAGCUGCCGCAGGAUGGAUUAAGUCAUAAUAAAGCAUUGCACAUCACUGUGCAAUAUGAAGACAAGUUCAUUGCUAGGGUUCUGAUAGACGGAGUUUCAAGUCUGAACAUAUGCCUGCUGCCUAAUUUGAAAAGAUUGGGCAUUGGUCUACAUGAGAUACGUAUGGGAAGUAUGAACGUGAAAGCAUUUGACGGGUCUUAGAGAGCCACUAUUUGAGAGAUCAAUCUGGAUCUGAAGAUGGGCCCAACCUGGUUCGACAUUGAAUUCUAGGUGCUGGAUAUAUACGCUACCUAUAACCUGUUACUGGGAUGACUAUGGAUACACACGACUGGGGCAGUCACUUCUACUUUGCAAUAGGAUGUGAAGUUCGAGUGGACCCAUCAGGAGGUGAUUAUUCACAGAGAUGGAAAUAACCUUAUCUACACCAACCAGACUUUGCCAGCUAUCUAUAAUAGAAGGAAAUUGGGAGGAGAGACAUUCCACAACAUUUGAGCGGAUAAACGCAAUCGAGAAAGGGCGAUGGUGGAGCAAAACGAUAUAUAGCGUACUGAUGUGGUUAAGGUAUGAACCAGGCAAGGGUCUUAGCCCCAUGCUUCAAGGAAUCACAGAACCAAUACGACCACAAUAUCAUGGCACAACCUUUAGACUCGGAUAUGAAUACACCGUGCACGAAUAUUAUGAUUGGAUACCACCAUGGUGUGACUUCUACUAUCCAUUGGAACAACCCAUACCACUCCUGCACUUGACAUUCUGCCAAACUGAUGUGAUUUGGUGAUCAAGGAAGAUGAGGUUUUGGCCGGCAUGAGGAAUCUGCUUCUGGAUGAGGAAAAUAUGGACUGCAAUGCGAUCUUGGAGGAGGAGGAGGAGGAAGACCUUACCAUUUAGACAGUGGGAGAUGGAGUUGUUCUCAGGAACUAGACUGCUGUACAAUCCUGGGCUCACCGAGCACCUGGCAUAAUUAUUACAUAUCCUGAUGAACCUACGACUGUGACAUGUAAUGAGACAAUGCAAUAUAAGGAAAGUGAUUCGAAAUAUUGGGAAGAUGAUAUAAUACCUGCGAAAAUUGUCAAAUAAGAAGAGAAUUUUGAAAACAAACCAAAAUCCAAUCUGGAAGAAACUGAGGCAGUUAACUUAGGGGAUUCUGAAACAGUCAAAGAAACUCACAUUAGCAUUCAUCUAUCACAAUCAGAGAAGGAAGCGUACAUCAGAUUUUUAAAGGAAUAUGAGGAUAAUUUCACAUGGUCCUACGAUGACAUGGCUGGGUUAAGCACAUUUAUAGUGGCUUACAAGCUACCUACCAACCCUAUGUGUCCUCCGGUAAAGCAGAAGCUCGGGAAAUUCAAUCCAUAUAUGAGUUUAAAGAUAAGAGAAGAGGUUAAUAAGAAAAUCAAAGCCAUUGUCCUUCGGGUGGUCGAGUACCAAACCUGGCUAGCCAACAUUGUAUCGGUUCCAAAGAAGGAUAGUAAAGUCAGGGUGUGCGUUGACUAUCAAGAUCUGAGCAAAGCAAGUCCUAAGGAUGAUUUCCUAUUGCCCAACAUACACAUACUGAUCGACAACUGGGCCAAGAAUGAACUCCAAUCCUUUGUGGAUUGCUUUGCAGGAUAUCACUAGAUUUGGAUGGAUGAAGAGGAUGUCGAAAAGACAGCCUUCAUCACACCAUGGGGAAUAUACUGCUACAAAAUGAUGUCAUUUGGUUUAAUAAAUGUCGGGGUGACCUUUUUGAGGGCCAUGACUAUUCUUUUUCACGAUAUGAUACCCAAAUAAAUAGAGGUAUAUGUGGAUGAUGUCAUCAUCAAGUCUAAGAAGAGUUCGGAUCACACAACAGACCUAAGAAAGUUUUUUGACCGACUACAAAAGUACAAUAUGAAGUUGAAUCCUGCAAAAUGUUCUUUCAGAGUCCCUGCUGGAAAGUUGUUGGGUUUCAUCGUCAGUUAUCGAGGCAUUGAGUUAGACCCGUCAAAGAUCAAAGCUAUUCAGGAAUUACCACCGCCAAAGAGCAAGAAGGAUAUGAUGUGUUUGCUGGGCCGCAACGACGUUAGGCACCAUCAUGACCUAUAGUGGGUUUUGGAUCCUGAAAGCUUGGUAUCAGAGUACUAGGUUCACUUAAGUCUCACGAGUUAUGAGCAAGUCUAGUAGAGUAUUGCGGAUCGGUACAGAGACGUCUGUACUUAUCUUCAAGAGGCUACAUGGCUGUUAGGAGAACUUCCCUUCCUUAAUUCCUCAUCAUGCGAUUUUAUUUCGUUGAAGCUUAUGACUUCGGUUCCUUCCUACUUAUUCGUACGCGACAUCAAGCAUUUGUUAUCAGUUGAGCACUAACGAGUUGUGAAGAUGCUACAAAUGCAAUGUUAGAUGCUUUUCCUUGCGAAUAUGAGCGGACCAUUAUCGUCGCCUUGUGGAGGAGUGUUCUGUCAUUUCAUCUGAGUGUUGGAGUUGCCUACGAUCGAGAUUUGAUAUUUCUAAAUUUGGUGGAAUUCUUUUUAAUAUUGUGGUGUCUCCAUCCUUGAUUGAAUGCAUUGAGGCUCAUCGGCAUGUUAGCCUUCAUUUGUUUGCCUCUGGGCACGGUGUUGUGACAUGGAACUUAUGAGGAAGUUAUCAGAGAUGGAUGUGUGUUGUGACAUCAGGAUUGAAUUAGUGUUUCCAGUGUUGAUGGUUCGAGAGAGAUGAUCCCUGAGGUGGUCUCUGUGCUUAGGAAUUUUGAAUGUGACGAGAUGGGCAUGAUUGGAAUGAGGGAAAAUGUGAGUAUCCGAUUAUUGUUUUGGAUGCAAUACAACUUCGAGUUUCAAACACAUUGAUGGACAUUUGGGUGAUGUUAAUGAAUGAAUGAAGGGAUUCUUAUGGCUGGAAGAUCAGUGUGGACCCAGGGAGAUUAAUUGAUUUCAUGAUGGAAGUAACUAUAGCAAUGAUGUUGGAUGAGGUCGAUAUGAGGUUACGCAGGUCGGCUAUCUCCUUUGAGCAGGUUAGCGGUUAUGUGGUUUUGCGGAGGUUCCUGUGAAGAGUUCUACUUUCUAUCCAACAUGGGAUGCACGUAUUGCGAUGCGAGCUUGGGUAGCUUGAAGAAGAUAGUAUGACCCCUGGGAGGUUAAGGGUGCGAUGUUAGCUGAUAAUUCAGGAUGUGUUAUUAUUGGUGCAAUAAGAGCUUGCGAGAAGUUGGCCAAGUAAAGGUACGGGAUCAUGGUAACUGGGAAGAAGAAGUCGUUGUGGGGUCUGGACCUCUGUGAUUAUAGCAUGAAGAUAAGUGGGGGAGCCCACCGUGUACGAUUGGGUCACGUGGUUGUGUGCCUGUGCAGUUUUUGGUCAUCGAUGCAUUGAUGUAUUAGUUAUGACCAAGAGAAGAAAAAACAUCAAGGGUAUUUUGGGCAAGUAAUUUGACGUAAAUGUGCUACAUUUCACCUUAUCGAUUCAUGUGCAGAUGUUGGGGAUGACUCAGAAUUUAUGUUUCUUGUGGAUGUGAUGUGCAAGGAAAUGAAUUCAUCCGGUUGCUUCUUUGGAAGUGUUCAUGUAUUAGCAGGGCACUAGAGUUUGAUUAUAUAUUCGGGAUCAGGUCAGGGUGGGUGACUCUCAACAAUGGUUCUAGUGGGUACAAGAAAUAAAGUGCGGUGUUUAAGGAUUUUGGGUUCGUUAUGUGGCUAAGGACUGGGUUUUGCAAUAGAGUAUGAAGAAUAUUUGGGGAAUUUCUAUGUAUCAUCGAGUCUACUGUGGAGUUCUAGAGAAAUGGGAGAAACAACUUCGGAUUCGUAGGAGGGAUUCCAGACGGGUAUAUCGGUGGGAGAUACUAUUGAGUGAAUGGCGAUGGUAUGAGAUGGCUGAUGGGUAUUGAGACGAUGUGGUCUUGUGAUUUGGGUCACUCGAGAUGAGUGUAGUUUGGGGUUAUGUGUUUAAAUAGAACUAUUAGUUUGAAGGCAUGUCAAGAGUAAAUUGGGAAAAGUAGAAUUAGUUAGUAAUGGUUUGAAUCGACAGGGUUGUUGAAAUGAUCAAUUUCUUCAGUGUGGUAAGGCUAUACCAGUGGUUUGUUGAUGUAUGUGCGGGGUUGAAAGGCACCGUGGUUUGAUUGAUUUGGAGGUAUUUGAUUCUAAUGGCUUGGUUAUGUGUGAAUGGAUCCUGAAAGAUUUAUGGCGUUUAGACCGCGACUUAAGGUUUGCGUUUUCAGCAGUUAUGGGAAGUUGGUUAUGGGUGGUGAUUCUUCUUCUAAGAUGAGUUAAGUGAAAGGUUUCGAGCUGAUGAAGUGUUAACUCUACUGAUGGUUCAUGAGAUUAUGAUGAAAUUCUUGUACUCUAUAGUAGCAACAUCAUAUGUGCAAUGAGCGUUAUAGAGAUUGGAAGUUGAGGAUUAGGGUUUCAGUUCAGUUUUGAUAAGAAUGUCAAGAGUUCAAAAAUGCGGCGAGGAAGGGGGGGGGAUUUCAGAUAUUUAGAGUAUGCUUGCAUUAUCUUAGUGUCGCCUGAGAAUGGUGUUCUGUGUAAGAGGCAUGGUGUAUUGAUUUGCGGAUUAUUAAUUUACAUUAGAGAAUUUGUACGGUUGGUGGUAUGGAUGUGCAGACCUUGCUACCUGGUGCAGGAGGUCGUGGACUGACUCUCGUAGGAUGAUUGUAAUGUUGCUGAUGGGAGAUUUUAUGUCUGAGAGGCACUCUAUUUCUCUGGGUGUGGACUGUGGUAGUUUAUUACUAAUUUGACGGUUGAUCGUAUGUGUCAUGGAUAUGGUCAUUGUGGAUCUUUGGGAGGUUAUAAACCCAUUUGGAGAUGAUCGGAAUCGGCUGUAGGUCCAUUGGUAGGCCUAACGUGAACGUAUAUUUUAUACCAGAUCAGAUAUGCUUAUUCGGCAUAGCAUCGCUUAUGGAAGGGUCUUCGGGCAUAGUGAAUGGUAUUCCAGACGUCGUCUGUUUCAAGUGCUACUCUUUUAUGCCACGUGAUUUGUGAGAUAACUUGAUUAUUCAUACGUGUGUUGUGGUGCUAUGCAGCUUGUCGUUUAUUUCACCUUAGUCGAGCUUAAAUUUUGUAGAGAACGGCGCUAUCCGGCUCCCCAAGGUUGUAUUUAUGCACUUAGAAUGCUCGUGGUAGAUAUUCGGGCAUUUCAUAGGUAUGAGCAUUUUGGCUCGAUGGGUAUUUCCUUAUUUAUUGUUAUGUGUGGAUCGGGUGGCACGCCGCCACGGGUAUGAUUUGUAGAUUGGGUUAUACGCCGCAACAGUGAGAUGUUGAAAACAACUUCUUAUACCUAUUUUGUAUGCCUCGUUUCUCAUCUCUGAGAUAGGCUCAUAUCAUCCUUUUGUCCAUUUUAUUUGUUCUAUGGGAUGGGUAGUUCUUUGCCAGAGUUCAUUCUUUCUUAUAAGUCAUAUUCGAGUUGUAGUUUAUUGGCGUAUUGAUGUGGUCGUAGGAGAUUGGGGUGGUUUUUGAUGUGGCUUGUCGGUCGAGCAGCUUGUAUUGGGUGAGACGAGAUGGUUGGACCUGGAGUUAGUGCAAUCAGAUUUAUAUAAGGCAUAUUAAAGAGAAAAUGUCACUAUUCAAUUCAGAAUGAGGUAAUGGUUUUUGUCAAGCAGAGACACUCCAUGAUUUAUUGACUUGGUUGGUGGUUAUGAGCUUCUACGUGUCGCUUUCAUCGUUGCAGUAUCGCGCAGGUUGGAUCAUGGCUUAUACGCAUUAUAAGGUAUACUACAUGCAUCAAGUUAGUAAAUUUGCAGCUUCUAUGAUUGGAGGAUGUUAUUAUGGGCUUGAGUAGUUUCACUUCAUGUUUUAUGACUUGUACGCGUAGUCGGAAUUGAAUUUCGGGGAUGAUUCAGAUGGAAAAUUCUCAAUUCAGAUGCUUGAAGUUGGAAGAAUUUACCAAGGUUUGACUUUUGAGUAAAUAACCUCAGAAUCGGGAUUUGAAGGCUCCAAUAGGUUCUUAUGAUAAUUUCGUACUUGGGCGUAUAUUCGGGUUGAGUAUCGGAUGGUCCGAAAGCUUUUUGGUGGUUAUUGUGAAAAGUUGACAUUUUGAAGGUUUUAGAAUUUCCUAAGUUUGAUUAGAAGUGGACUUUGGUGUUAUCGAUGUCCGUUUGGGAUUCCAACCCUUGGAAUAGAUUCGUAUUGUGAUUGUGACUUGUACGUGAAAUUUGGCAUCAUUCCGGAAUGUUUAAGUGUAAUUCGGACGUGUUCGGCGAAGCUUGAAAGUUGAAAGAAGGGUUUUGACUAUGAAUUCAUAGUUUGAAUGUUGUUUGGUGUGAUUUGACGCCUCGAGCAUGCAUCAUGUUUUGGGAAUGGUUGGUAUGAUUGGACGGGGUCACGAGGGCCUCAGGUGUGUUUCAGAUGGGCUACAUGUCAUUUCUCCAAGUUUGAAUUGUUUUUCUGAGAUUUGGUGCAUCAUUCUUCGCGAUCGCGAAGAAAUGGCUACGAUCGCAGAGAGCAAAGUUUUGUUCCAGGCCUUGUGAAUUGUGAUCGCGGAAAGAAAUUCGCGAUCGAGUAGAAGGCAUUUUUGCUAUCACUGGUCUGCCUUCGGGAGCUUAUAUCUUGCAAUAUAUAAGGAAUUUGGAGAUUGUUCAAAAAACAAAGUUGUAGCCCUUUGAAUCUAGUUUUUAGAAAAUUCAAACCAUUCGUCAUGUGAAAAUUUUUACAAAAGAUAUGGCCAUUAUAUCUAAGGGUAUCUGUAAAGAGGAAACACAAUUGUACAUCGCGAUUGUGAGGUUUUGGUCACGAUUGCGAUAAAGGUAACGAUGCUGGAACUUUUGUUAAUCGCGAUCGCAUGGAUAUUGACCGUGAUCGCGAAGAAUGAGGUAUGACAGGUGUGUUAAACAUCUAUUUUUGGGAUUUUAAGCUCAUUUGAUCACUUUUACGGUCUUGGAGCUCAUGUGGGGCGAUUUGGGGUGAUUCUGGAAGAUUGUUUUCAUCAUAUAUCAUAAGGUAAGUUAUUCCUACUUGUUUCGAGUUAAAUACAUGGGUCGUAUAUGGAUUUUAACAUGGAAAUUUGAUAGAAAUUAUGGAAUUUUCGGAAGAAAACCUAGAAUUGAUAUUUUUAGAUUUUGAUCACGAAAUUGGACACGGGAUUAGGAAUAAAUUAUAUAUUUGAGUUCGUGGUAUUAUGGAUAACGUUUAACUUCAAAUUGUUUUGAAAUCUGGGCACGGGGGCUUGAGAUUUGACUUUGUUGACUUUUCGAGCGGAGUUGGGAAUUGUUAUGAAUUGUUAAAUUAUGAGUAUAGUUUUAUGUGUUUGUACGUUGUUUGACUAGUUUGGAUCGAUGGGCAUUGAUUUAGGGUAUUAGAGAGGCGUUAGAGCCGGUUAAGUCUCCUAUCUAACCUUGUGAGGGGGUAAUUUACCCUAUAGCUAUUAUAUUUAUUAUGUGCUACAUGUUGUGGGAGCUACACACGUAUGAGGUGACGAGUGUCCGUGCGUAUACUAUAAUUCCUGUUUAUGUACGGGUAGACAUAGACUCACGCCAUACUUUAAUUGUACUAUUAAAGUUAUUAUUGCUUGGUUGAUUAUUUUAAUUUGCAUUACGACUAGAGAGUAGACUCGCGUAAAGUAAUGGACUCGCUGUGUUAGAUACUUGAUUAGCCGCGAAAAGUUAUGCUUGCCUUACGAAUUUCUCCCACGUUGUGUGUAUUCAUCAAAACAUUUCCUUAAAUUUCAUAACCCACACGUAUAUUCGUGAGUGAGGUCAAGGACCCGUUAAAACUUCUUAUUCUAAUGGGAUCAGGUCGUUCGCCUCGGCAAGAUUAUGUAUCACACUCUUAUGGGAUCGGGUCGUUCGCUCUGGAAGGACUAUGUACCACAUUCUUAUGGGAUCGGGACGUACUCUUCGGCGGGAUAUUAUUGUAACACACUCUUGUGGGAUCGGGCUGUUCGCCUCGGCUGUAUCAUGUACCAUAUUCUUAUGGGAUCGGGCUAUUUGACUCGGUAUUUCUAUAAAACACUCUUAUGGGAUCGAGUUGUUCACCUCGACAGCAUCAUGUAUUAUAUUCUUAUGUGAUUGGGUCAUUCGCCUCAGUAACAUCAUAAAAUACUCUUAUGGGAUCGGGCCGUUCGCCUCGGUAGAAUCGUGCAUAAUAUUUGACAAGAAGUCAGUCUAUCCAUGAGUUUUCAUGACUUGAACUGUGACGACCUAUCUGGUGGGGACCUUAUUAUAUACUCCAUUUGAGGAGGUAACCGAUAUGUGAGGACUUGUGUUACUUUUUAGAUGAGGAUCGUAUCAUGUACCUAUAUUUGUUUUCACUGUUUAAUUACCAUACUUCAUACUUAUUUACUUUGUACUGUACUUGAUUUAUUGGACCACUAGUAAGUGUCGAUGUUGACCCCUUGUCACUACAUCUCCGGGGUUAAGCUAGAUACUUACUGGGUAUGCGUUGAUUUACGUAUUCAUGCUACACUUAUGCACUUAUUGUGCAGGUAUAUAUAUUUCUGGUGGUCUUUUGGGUGCAAAGGCGCAGCGAUUGCGGGGACUUUACGGUGAGCUGCAUCCCAUAUUACCAUCAGCAGCAUACAGAGUCUCCAUCAUAAUUAUUUACAUUAUCCUAUCUAUCUUGUAUUACAAACAUAUAUUGUAUUGUUAUUGUACUUUCUAGUAGAUGGUCAUGCACUUGUGAUACCGGGUUUGGGGGUGUUCUAGAAUUUGUUUAUGGUAUGCUUUAUCAUUGACACAAUAUUACUUUAUAUUACAAUUAAAUUGUCCUUAUCUACGAUUUUUUAAUGCAUUGAUCUCUCUAUAUAAUAAUAUUCAUGAUUUCAAAAAUAAUAAAAUAAAUAAUUAAGUUCGUAGUUCACUGUGGCUUGUCUAACGGCCACGUUGGGCGCCUUCAUGACCUAUAGUGGAUUUUGGGUCGUAACAUUUAGGACUUAGAAAUAAAUUAAAAUUUUGCACAUCUUUCCUUAUUUGAAUUAUUAUUUAAGAAGUCUUAAUAUUUAGGACUUGUAAAUCAAUUGAAACUUUAUCUAAACUCGACAGGGAUAAACACAAUUUGGGUUAUAUAAAUCCUUUCGUUCUAAUCUUUUUAAUUUAUGCGUAGCUCCAUACUUCGUUUAAGAAUUAAAAGAUAUCAAAUCAUUGAGUUCACAAUUAGUGUAUAGGGUAAAAUAUGAUGUGACACGUGGCCACCCAAAAGAGGGACACGUGGAACCCAAUACGGGGGUACGACUAAGACCGAAUGCACUUGAUCCGUUUGUCACAGGAAAGAAUAACGCUCAUAAAGAUGUGAUAAAUACUUUUCGCCUGGUAGAAUUUAAUAGAGAAUAUUCCGUGGUAUUAAGAACGAUUACCCGUUACAAGGAAUUUGGCAUUUAUGUUCAUCGUUACAUCUUCAUCAAUGACCCUCAAAAUCGACAUUAAAUGAGGGCACGAUCAUAGGACCUCCUUCCCUAGACAUAGUAGUGAGCUCAAUUAUCAUUGUAAGGGAGACGAAUUUUCUGACAAACUUAUGCAACAUUCUAUUCAAAGUUUAAUACAAUCUUAUCUUCUUGCUUUUCGAUUCCAUUGUUGUUGUGCCUGGAAACCCUGUUCCCGAAACUAUUUUUUCUAUUAUUUAGUAUCCAUCUAAAGGUUGAGUAAUGCAUAAUUCUUCAACUAUUUUAUUAUUUCAGGAUCAAUUAUUUCACUUGUCUAGAAACCACGUAUAAAUUCAAAUGUACCGUUUUACGGGUAAAUAGUUUGGCGCUCACCGUGGGGCUUAGAUAGGAGUCUGAUUAUAUUGAUCUUUGCCUUUUUUACUAACGUGUUUUGAUUAUUUUGUCGUAGAAAACAUCAUGAGAAAUGGCAGAUAACACUGUUGACAACACAUACAAUCCCGAGAUUCGAGGGGAUUAACAUCAUUUCGAGGACUCAAUUAGUGACACCCAUAAUUAGGCGAAUGGCGCCACACCGGUGCAUGAUAGGAAAUAUCCUCAAUAUGUUCGAGGGAUAACUCCCAAUGAUGCUGAGGAGGAACAUGUCAUUUACGCAGUAAGGGACUUGCAAGAGAAACAAGCGAUCAUUCUAGAACACCUCACGCGACAUGAUAAGGUUAUGACGGAGUUGAAGCAGGCGUUGUCAGUCGCUUUUAAUAAUGCAAAUAGAUGAUAACUGAUUCCUCCUGGUGCUCCUGAGAAUCGAACAAUGCAGAGGGUCGACAACAACACUCCUAGGGGAGAAGUCGGCUCCGACGGGGCUGGGGGGAGCAAAUCCGGCCUAAAUAACGAGAACGAUCCUUUCAAGAAUGAACUUUUACGAUUUAUGAGGGAAGUGAACGCCCGCAUGGACCAAAUCCCGGGCACGCAACCAGUGCUAAAAGGCCCGGACUCAAAGAAGUAUACUCAAUUGCCAUACAAGCCAAAUGCGGCACUAAAAUUAAUCCGGAAGUGGUUCAAAAUGCCCGAUGUGGCAAGGAAUGAUGGAACUUCAGACCAUCAAGAGCACAUUACCACCUACACAACGGCGGUGAGAGGAAAUGAUUUAGCUCCUCACGAAAUUGAAUCUGUUUUGCUGAAGAAAUUUGGAGAAACUCUUACGAGGGGAGCCUUGGCGUGGUAUUCACUAUUACCCGAGCACUCCAUAGACUCCUUUGAGAUGAUUGCGGACUAUUUCAUCAAGGUUCAAGCCAGGUCCAGAAAAGUGCAGGCCUAAAAGGACGACAUAUUCAGGAUUGCGCAAGGAGAGUCCGAGUUACUAAGAGAAUUCAUUACCCAAUUCGAGAAAGAGAGAAUGUUUCUCCCAGUUGUCCCAUUGUAUGGGCAGCUGAAACAUUAACCAAUGGAUUGAAUUCGAGAAGUUCAGACACUUCCCGAAAAUCGAAGGAAAGCCUGCUUGAGUUAUAAGCAACGACUUGGGUGGAUGUCCACAACGGGUACGAGUCAAAUAUAAGGAUCGAAGAUGAUCAGGUUGGUUUUCCAUCGUCGACCAAAGGCCGGGAGAAGAAUAGAAAAAAAUCAAAAGAUGAUUAUGACAUGGAUAGACGGACUUCGAGAGGCCGGAAUUUUCCCUACGAAUGGACUGAGGGCCACGGCAGAAACUUUCGAAAAGCAGAUAGGUCCGUCGUUGACAGAAAGACCGAUCGCGGUCGGAAUAAUAGAUCACUACAGGAUAAAGAAGCGCCAGGGUCACGGGAUCCUUCUUAACCUAAGUUGUCGGAAUACAACUUUAACGUCAGUAUAAUGGAGUUGGUGUCAGCUAUGAGAAACAUCUAAGAAGAAAGGUUCCUGAAACCAAUAAGAUCUGAACCCAUCCAGAGGGAUCCCAACUUAUGGUAUGAAUACCAGGGGACAAAUGGCCACCGGACAGGGGACUGCCGACACCUUAGGGAAGUAGUGGCAACAUUUUUGAAGAAUGGUCACCUCAGAUAAUUCUUGAGUGACCGAGCUAAGAACAAUUAUGGUCUUAACCGGGAAAAGGCGGAACCCUCGAAAGAAGGAGAAGAUCCCCCACACCAAACGAUCAACAUGAUCUUCGUAGGGAACGAGAUCAACUGGGUCACCUUUUUGGGAGCAAAGGAGACAAAAGUAUCAAUAACCCAUAGCAAAAGACUUCGGUAAGACGAUAGCACUUUCACGGAGAAAGACGUAGACGGAUUGCUGCUAUCACACAAUGGCGUACUGGUAAUUUUGUAAAAUGUUCUAGAUUUAAAGAUUAAACAUAUUCUAGUGGAUCCAGGAAGUUCGGCUAAUAUCGUACAAUGAAGAGUAUUGGAGCAAGCUAAACUCACCGGAAGCAUUAUUCCGGCCACAAAGCUCAUCGCCAGAUUCAACCUCGCGAGCGUGACAACUCGAGGAGAAUUUUAUUACUAAUAAAUGCCAAAGAAGUAAUAAAAACAAUUCUCUUCGAAGUGGUAGAUGGUGAUAUGGGAUAUAACAUCAUUUGGGGAAGGCCAUGGUUGCACGAGAUGAAAGUUGUACCAUCAACAUAUCAUCGAUUGCUGAAGUUUCCAACACCCGAAGGAAUUAAGUAGAUAUGGGGUGACCAACCGUCAGCAAGGGAGAUGAAUCCAAUUUCAGUCUCCAGCAACAAAGGAAAGGAACGCGCGGCAUAAUAAUUACAGGAACCGACACCUGGUCCCAAACUAGAUGAAGUUUGCCCGGGAAUAGAGGCGUAGGAAUAUUAUCAGGUGCCGAGAUAUUUUCAAGUUCCAAAAGAGACGGAUGCAACUAAAUCCAUAGUGGAAGAGCUUGAGAAAGUUUCAUUGUUUGAAGAAUUCUAGAAAGGAAGUUCCACUUGGGGACACGACUGCACCCGAAACUCAGGUCUGGCUUUGUUAAAUUCCUUAAAUCUAAUGCCGAUUGUUUUGCAUGGUCGCAUGAGGACAUGACAGGUAUCCCGAUGGAGGUAGUCGUACAUGAGUUAAGUUUGGACCCCACCAUACCUCUGGUAAGACAAAAGAAAAGCCCUAUUGCCAAAGCCAGGAAUAAAUUCGUUAAAGAAGAGGUAACCCGUUUACUUAAUAUCGAUACAAUUCGAGAGGUAAAAUAUCCAGACUGGUUAGCCAAUGUAGUAGUAGUUCCUAAGAACAAUAAAUUUUACAUGUGUGUAGAUUAUAAAGAUCUUAAUAAGGCGUGCCCGAAAGACUCAUUUCCACUACCAAACAUCGAUCAAAUGAUUGAUGCCACGAUCGGGCACAAGUUAAUGAGUUUCCUCGAUGCUUAUUCCGGGUACAACCAAUUUAAGAUGAACCCGGAGGAUCAGGAAAAGGCUUCGUUUAUAAUAAAUUUCGGUACAUAUUACUACAAUGUCAUGCCAUUUGCAUUGAAAAAUGCCGGAGCCACUUAUCAACGGCUUGUGAAUGGGAUGUUUGAAAAUCAAAUAAAAAAACUAUGAAAGUUUAUAUAGACGAUAUGCUCGUUAAGACUUUGAAUGCAAGUGAUCACCUUAAAUAUUUGCAAAAAACUUUUGACAUCCUAAGGAAGCAUAAUAUGAAACCUAACCUCGAGAAACGCGCGUUCGGUGUUAGCUCUGGUAAGUUUUUGGGAUUUCUGGUAUCGAAAAGGGGAAUUGAAGUUAACCCUAAUAAGAUCAAGGACAUAGAAGACAUCCCGUACCAACUGUCAAACGUGAAGGGAGUACAAAGGUUCACGGGGAGAUUGGCAGCUUUGAGCAGGUUCAUUUCCCGCUCAUCACAAAAAUGUCAUCAUUACUUCGCAGUGCUCAAAAAAAAAAAUUCGAAUGGACCCCGGAGUGCUAGUAGGCUUUGAGGGAUUUGGAAAAAUACUUGUCAAGCCCUCCAUUGCUUUUAAGACCAAAAGAAGAUGAAAUGUUGUUAGUUUACCUUGCGGUCUCAGAAGUUGCGGUGAGUGCGAUUUUAGUCCGUGACGAAGAAGGUAUGCAAUCUAUCAUUUAUUAUGUUAGUAAAAUUUUAACGAGAGUAGAAACUCGCUACCCACAUUUGGAGAAACUGGCCUUAGCUCUCGUAGUCACUGCUCGGAAGCUGAGGCCCUACUUCUAAUGCCACCCGAUAGCCGUGGUGACCACUUUCCAUUUGCGGAACAUCCUCCAUAAACCGGAGCUCUCGAGUAGAUUGACAAAAUGGGCUGUCGAAAUGAGUGAUCUUGACAUUGAAUAUAAAUCAAGGACUGCAAUUAAGUCGCAAGUAUUGACUGGCUUCGUGGCCGAUUUCAGUGCCUCUAGAAACCAAGGAUGCAGUAAUGGUAUCAGAAUUAACUUUAGGGGUUUGGACCUUAUUUACAGACAGAUCUUCCAACAUAAAAUGGGCUUGGUAUAGUCUUAAUCACGCCAUUAGGGGAAACCCUAAGGCAAGCCAUUAGAACGGUCCCUUGAACUAACAAUGAAGUAGAGUAUGAAGCUUUGAUUGCAGGGCUAAAUUGGCCCGGGGACUUAACUCCGAGGUCAUCAAAAUCAAGUGCGACUCACAGCUGGUGGUAAAUUAGGUAUACGGAACCUUCGAAACCAAAGUGGAACACAUGCAACAAUACGUGGUUAAGGUACAUGCAUUGUUGGCGCGAUAUCGGGAGUGGUCGAUUACUCAUAUCCCGAGGGAAGAUAACGCAAAAGCAGAUGCAUUGGCUAACCUUGGAUCAUCGAUGGGAAUAAAGGGAUCAGAAUCCAGGACGGUAGUACAACUGAUGAACUCAGUCCUGAAUACAGAUGGUUACUAUGAAGUAAAUGGGAUUAAUUUGGUCUGGGAAUGGAGAAAUAAAAUUAUUGAUUAUCUUGAGCACGGAAAGCCGCCCAAAAGAGGAACACGUGGAACCCAAGAUGGGGGUACGACUAAGACCGAAGGCAAAUGUUCCGUUUGUCACCAAAAAGAAUAACGCUCAUAAAGAUGUGAUAAAUACUCUUCGCCCGAUAGCAUUUAACAGAGAAUAUUCCGUGGCAUUAAGAACGAUUACCCGUUAUAGAGAAUUUGGCAUUUAUGUUCACCGUUACAUCUUCAUCAAUGACUCUCAUAAUUAACAUUAAAAGAGGGAUACAAUCCUAGGACCUCCUUCCCUAGACAUAGCUAUAAAUAGUAAGCUCAGUUAUCAUUGUAAGGGAGACGAAUUUUCUAACAAACUUAUGCUACAUUCUAUUCAAAGUUUAAUACAAUCUUAUCUUCCUGCUUUUCGAUUCCAUUGCUGUUGUGCCCGGAAACCCUGUUCUCGGAACUGCUGUUUCUGUUAUUUAGUCCCAUCUAAAGACUGAGUAUUGCAUAAUAUUUCAAUUAUUUUAUUAUUUCAGGAUCAAAUUAAUUCACUUGUCUAGAAACUACGUAUAAAUUCAACUGUACCGUUUUAUAGAUAAACAAUUUGAUCACUCAAAUCGAUAUAUUGUAACUUCGAAUGAGUAGAAGGUUUCGUACACUUAAAUCAAUAUUUCUCAACUCAAGAACUUUCUUUAGCAUCUAUUUUUUAGCUAAAACAUUCAUUACUGCUGGGUACAAAUUUUGUAGCAAUUGACGCAUGCAAAAAUUACGCACGUAUACAAGUACUUUUUAACUUUUAAAAGUAUAUUACACAUUAGAUAAAAUUAUUAUUAAUUAUUUUUUAAUAUUUAACACUUUGAAGUUAACUAAAAUUUUGAAUAUUAAGUCUUUAAUUUCUUAUUUGAACUAUGUGUAACUCUUAAUAUUUAAGAAUUUAAAAUCUUUUUUCUUACUUGAAUUAUGUAAAAUUACUAUACCACUUUAUUUAUUUCAUUCGCAAAGAAGAAAAACUGAAAGUUUAAAUUCGAUUGAUUAUUAUCAAAUAUCUAAUUAUUUGAAUGGAUAUCAUUAUGUCGCGAAUAAAAUUGAUCUCUCCGAAGAUUGGUUGGUUAUUUUGUAGACCGAAAAUAAAAAUACAAAGGCUGAUGUAUUAAAGCCAAGAUCUGGUUUUUAUUAUGUUGCGGUUACACGGUUACAGGAUAUUGUUAAGUACUAUCAGUUUGGUUUAGGCAUUUCAAGUUUAAUAGGGAUAUAUUCAAGUUUUGUGAAAGUAUUGAAGAUGUUAUAGUUAUUCCAAUACAAUCAGCUGCCUGUUGUCAUUGAUUGUUUAAACUAUAUGCAUGGCGGAUUGAGAGUACUAUAAGAGCUAAGUUCAUAUGACGUUUUCGACACUGAAUAUAAAUAUAUGUGAAAAAUAAUAAAAUUUAAAUAAAUAUUAAAUUAGAAACUCAUAAUUUUAAUAGUAUAGUGGAUUAAAUAGUAAAAAUGUAGUGGUUGCGCCAAAUCAAACUAAAACUCAUUAAUUAUAAUUUAGUUUCUAUGAAUCCGAUUUUAGCAAUAUGCUAAAAACAAGGUUAUGUAAUUCAAGUUUACUGGCCAAGUCUAAUAAUAAGGCAUUUAAAGAAUUUCGCAUGACAAUAUUUCUUUCUUUACUAAGUUAGCUAAAUAAGAUAUGUUUUAUUUUUAAUUUGUAGGCAUUGGCACAUAUUCCUUUUUUUAUUUUUAUUUUAUAAAGCAUUUUAAUUAAUGUUUAUUAAAGUUUUAUAUUUAAUAAUAUGGGGAUCACGCGCAACGUGCGUAUUCUAAUACUAGUUUAACUGAUAAAGAAAAUUAAAGUGGAUCCUCUAAUAAUAGAUCGUAUGCUAUAAAAUAAGGAAAUCAGAAUGUUGAUUAAAGCUUUCGUUAUGCCUUGCAUUUGUCUUACCAUAAUAUUAUUAUUGAAUUGAAAUUACAAAGAUAAAGUUAAUCCCAUACGUAAAAAAUACAUAUGCAAAGUUACCUUACUAUGGGGGCGAACAGGAUGCAUCUAAGGAUUUAGGAUUAGAGACAUCACUAAAAUAUCCAUCAUAAAACAUCUUGGAGUCACAAUAAAAAUCUGUUUCUCCAUCUCUACAUCUUCUUUCCAACUCCGACUGAGGAGUAUGAUCUAAGCCUCUUGUUACUGUUAAAUAGUCAACACAUUCCCAAACACAAUCUUCUUCUACUGAUGGAGGGUAUGUUUUACAAUUUACUAAUGUCAUACACAUUAUGAAGAAAAGCACACAAGUCUGCUCUAAUAUCCUCAUCUGCAUACCAGACAUCCUCGUGUUUGUAUUUCCUGCAAAGAUAAAUAAUUACCCAAUAACGUUAAAAAGUUUGAUAAGCACCCUUUCAGAAUUUGUAUAAACUAGAAUAUUACCAGAUCAAUGUAGAUAUUAUGCUAAACAUGUAAAGCAUUAAGCAUUCAAGAAAUCCUCUCAAAUAUAAAUAAACAACACGCUCACUUUUUUCUGAAAAAUAUAAGAUCUUCGCAAGUAAGCACGUGGACUAGCUUAAUUUUGGUUCUUGAAGGAACCUCAAAUUGUUGCACUUGCUCCCGAAUGUCGUUGUUGCUCUCAUUUUAUGUACAAUUUACAAGUUAGAAUAUGUGAUAUAGCAAUUUUGCUAUUGCAGAUGUAUAUAUGCGAAAUUGCAAUGGGCAUCAUUCCAAAUACUGUUAUUGUAUAUUAACUGAAAAGACGGGUUAAUUUCACUAAUGACCAUUGAACUAUCUUUCAAUUUCACUAAAGUCAUAUAACUAUUUUUUGUCACUUAAAAAUAACUAAACUUUAUCAUUCUCACUUAAAAGUCAUUUGGCCUCAAACCCCUACCAUAAUUAGUAUAGAAUAAUUAUGAAUGUGGCGUGACAGAAAAGGCAAAAUUUUGUAGUAUUGGAUAAUCAUUUUAAACUAAUGUGGAAUUAAUAUUUUUUUUUAUCAAAACUCAUUUGGAUUAUGGAUCAAAUCACAUUAAAGAAUAAAUGAAUCUAAAAUGGGUAUGACCUAUAUUAGCUUAUGUGGCAUUUAUUUUUGGAUUUUUAUCAUAAAAUUUAAUGCCAUGUCAUAUUUAUGGUAGGGGUUUGAGGCAAAAUGACUUUUAAGUGACAAUGAUAAAGUUUAGUUAUUUUUAAGUGACAAAAAUUAGUUAUAUGACUUUAGUAAAAUUGAAAGAUAGUUCAAUGACCAUCAGUGAAAUUAACCCCUGAAAAGACCGAUUAUAAGACAUUUUCAACCUAAAAUAUUCAAGUGUAUGGAAAUGGAGAUUGUUCCAAAUAUAGAAGCACAGUAUUAAGAAGCAAACAUAAACAAACUAAUAAAUAAAAGGAGAAUAAAAAAUUCUUGCUUACCCCUUUCUUUUGAUAUAUCACAACAACGUUUAACCUUUUUCAAGACAAGGUUGUAGGAUAAAAAUAAAAAGAGCAAUUAAUAGUAUUUUGACCUGUACCGCAUGAACAUACAUUUCAUUCAUUUUUAAAGGCUGAAAAAGUUCAUGUAUGCAGAUGUAUCGCUCGGUUUCUUUUCACAUUAAUGAAGUCUCAUUAAUUAAUAUGAGAAAAUAUUUUAUGACAGUUCAUUAAUUGUAUUGUCAAAGCUUACAGCCUCUUGCCAAAUUAGAAUUAGAGAAACCUUCUGGGAUUACUGGUAAAUUAUAUAAAUCCAAUUCUUUGUGGAUUUCAUUAUCAUAUGUCGAAUGGUAAACUGUAAAUAUUAACGAUGCUGCAUCUUAGUUCAUGAAUUUGAAUCCUGAAAAGUUCUAAGGAUUAGUACUACUGUGUUAAGCUAGUGAGCUUUACUUAAUUUAUGUUAAGAACAUUAACUCUAAGUGCUUACCCUAAAAAACGGAUAACAAUUAAUUAAAUUUGUAUGUAGUUUUAAGGAUAUGCAGAUUAAUUCAAUAUAAAUGAUAAAUGAUGUUAGAUUAAACAGGUAAAGGACGUAAUAAAUUGUCAAACCAAUAAGGAGAGUGAUCUCGGACUCAGUAACGCCUUAAUGAAAUGCAUGCCUUCGAUCCCGGGAUCACACUAAUGAAGACGUGAUGAACAAAAGUAAGAACUUUGAAUAACAGAGAAAAUAAGAGUAUAUUGCCUUGAUAUGCGCGUUACAAUGUGUCCCUAUGAAUAAUAAGCUUUCCCUUUUAUAUAGUAGGGGAGUCUUACCCUAAAUAAAAUUAUAAACAAGGUAAAAAUCUUUCGUUUCGACGAUUACGAAUUUUUCGCUGAUACUGGCCGAAAUUCACGCUGUGAUAUCCGGUUAGGCACGAAUAUCUCGGCCCUUUGUUAGUCGUGUGCAGCUACUUGAUAACGUUCUCCGAAGUCUCAACCCUUAAAUCCGAGGGCAGGUGUUUGCUUGAGCCCUAAUACGAGGGGUUCUUCGUUCUGACUUUGGUGUAUUACGAUCAUGUUACUACUCUGCUCCACCGGGAAGACGAGUCAUACAGUGGGCUCGAUUCUACCCGUAUACAGAUAGUCCCCUCGUUUCUCAGAGAAUAUGCUUGCUGAAACGAUAGGAAACGACAGAUGCCUCUAAUUCCUUCCUUUGUACGUUUCGACGGGGAGCAGAAACGUCCCAUCAAUAGCGUCGUUCUGACUUCGGACACAUGUCGUUCACCACCAGGUUGCUUCCGAAUGCGAAGCGUCGACCGUUUCCCUACAAAAGCCCCUUCCUCUGUCCCUUUUCCACUUUCCUAUCAAACCGCUAUCUUCGAGCCAUUACCAAUUAUCAAAACAUUCAUCAAGUCUUCAAAUCUUCAUCCCCGCUCUUCAAUCUUCAUAGCAAUAUCUAGAUUUCUACCAAUAACUUCUUCAAAUCUUCAUACCCUGUUCUUCAUCUUCAAAAUCCAUUUCUCCAAAGCUUUGUCUUUAUUCAUCAAAUGUUCAAACUUUCUCUUAAAUGACAAUGGCAAAAACAUUGAAACCUAUUCCUCAACAAGUUGCCUCUUCAUCUUCUCAGCCGGAUGCUGGUACUGAAGCGGUCGCCCCCGAGGCGGUGGCCCUCAAAAUGUCUUUCCUUGUUGCGGCUGUUAAUGUAUCGUCCUCCGAGCCUCCUUUGUCGGCGUUCAUCCCCGGGGGAUGCUCAAAUGCUGAGGACAUCAAGGUCGAGGAGCCUUCGCGUAAACAGGACCGUGGCAGAGGGGUCUCGAGAUAAAUAUGUUCCGUGACUGAGGUAAUUCUUCACAUAGUUAGUAAGGACUGUGAUUGGGAAGGCUAGGACAUAGUAGUCCCCGGGCCUGAGGACGCCGUUACUACCCAUGUGAAGGGGUACUUAAGUAUUUACUCUUAUCCCUUCAUGCUGGUCCCGGUGGACCCGAUUAUCCUGGAUUUUUGCAAGAGGUAUGAAGCAUGUCUCGGGAAAAUCCAUCCAUCAAUAUGGAGGAUCGUGACCCUCCUCUGUUACUUCGUGAACAAGACCGAAUCUCGUUGGUUCACGAUCGACUACCUACUCCAAUUAUACAAUCCCUGAAUGUUUCGAGGGGGACUGAUUAAUCUCACACACCGGGCUAGCAAGACCCCCUUCUCUAGUAUCGACGAAGACCAAGACCGUGGAUGGCAAGGACGCUUCGUCCGAGUAAAGACCGAGUAUUUAAUCCCCUCAGAAUAUAUGCCAUUCCCUAAGAAGUGGAAUGUGUCUAGUAAGUGUAAGUCCUUCUUCUAACAUCAAAAUUUCUUCUUCCUUUAUUUCAAUCUUCGCAUUCGUGUUUGUCACUAUGCAGCUGUUGCCCGAGUUCUGAAUGCGGUCCCCCGAUUGAAGGAGUGGAUCGAGUGAAUCUGUACCCAGAUGUCCUACUUCAAGCGCACAUGGCACAGACUCUCAAAGGGCCGAUAGGAAGCCCGUUCUCAUGGUAAGGUCUAUUUCUGAAUGGUCAUCACUACGUCUCCAUCUUAUAUUAUACUAACCCACUCUCUUUAUCAUUGUAGGUUUGCCUAAGACCACCAAACUUAGGCCUUUGGAAGGGUACGAAGAUGUGACCUCGCCCGUUGAUCCCUCUGUUGCUUCCACAGUGGGAACAAAGAAGAGAAAAAGAAAACCAUUGGGAUCCCCGUGCUCUGAGACGAAGAAACCAAAGAAUUAGGUGCUCCGCAAGCCUAGGAGGGGAUCCAGAUCCCGUGCGCCUGCCUCCGACUCCCUCUUCCGGCAUAGGGAUGAGCCGGAGGAUGAGUCUGUCUUCGUAACUCAUGGGACGACUACCUAUCCCGGGGAUUGGGAGGCAUCCGAGGGGGAGACUAGCGAGACCGACCCCCCUCUAACUCAGAAAGCCAAUGCUAUCCCCGAGGUGAAACUUCCCAGGAUGUCGGCUCUACACCGAAGGAAGUGCCCGCAUAAUCUAGAUUUCUGGGAUGCCGUCUUACACCAAGUCGAUGCUCGAAGAACCCCAAGUAAGGAAGGAGAAAUCUAAUGAAGGGGCUCAUGGCAUGGACGAUCCCCUUCGUUCCUUCUUUGACGGUGUGGACUUGUUUGUCUUGGAAGACUUUUCCGGGCUGGGCGACCUAGAAGUGCCGAGAAAAGAUCAGUCUUCAGAAAUCGGAGGGCUAAACUCGAGCCCAAAGUUAGUCAACCAGUUCCCCGCCCCAAGUGCGGACCCCGGUCGUAAGAGGUUGAUAAUCAUCACUGUUCCGAAGGAUGCCUGGGUUCUUUCUCCUCCUGUGAGAGUAGCGAGCCACCUUCGAUGCUUGGUGACCGAAGAAGACCAUGCAAAAAUGAAUGAGGUAGACGUGUUGUGCCUAUUCAAUGAGGCGCAGCAGGCACUAAAUCGGGUAAGGCAUCAUUAUGCUCUUUCGACCUUUGACUUAGUCCUUGAUAUUUCUCAUGUCUUCUUUCUUUUACCCUUUUGCGGGCCUUGGUACUCCAUCUCGAAAGCAUUAUUCGGUACCGGAUUUAGGUUAACCAGCUCGAGGCUGAGGAUAAGGAGUUUUUCGAGAAGAGAGACAUGUAUAAGCUUCUCAGCGAGCAACAUGAAGGGGUCGUCAAGAACCUCCAAGCCGAGCUAGAUGCGGCUCUGAAGGAGCAUGCCGACUUGGUGGAAAAGGUAAAGGGUUUUGAAGUUAGCAAUGAAUACUUAGCCAUGGAGACUAAUGACCAAACCUCACAGGUUCAGCAGAAUAUUGACCGGAUUGACCAACUCUGAGCUGAAAUGAUUGAGGUCCAUGCCAUGGCCGAUAUUGAAAGAGCAAAAUGGACCGACUGGCUUUAGAGAAGGAGACCGCCCAGGCACAACUAGCAUCGGUGGAGGUUCAACUCCGAGUGGCGAAAGAGAAAGCCGAUGCUCGGGCUCGACAAAACGAGCACCUUCAAAAUCAACUGGGUUCGGCUAUUGCCGAACGGGAUGCCCUUGGCAAGGAGCUCAAAAUGGAGAGGUCUAAGUCGGAAGCAACCUUGGAUGAUGCUGAAGAGAUGGUGGCCUAGUAUAUAGCUGAUGUUGAAGUAGCCGAGGCUCUCCUGAAGACUACUCUUGAGUACGUAAGGUGGCUAUCCCGAAGGGAGACCCUUGAGGAGAUCCAUGCCAGAGGCUUCGACUUGUCAGCCGAGAUCGAGGAGGCGAAAAUACUUGAGGUCAUGGCCAAGAAGCUAGCUGAACCCGACAAUGAAGAAGGCUCCAAGGGCUCCGAAGAACCCGAAGAUGAAGAAGGCCCCGGCGUCUCUAGUGACGAGUCAGGUCCUGGUGAAGAUCAGGCGUAGAGGCCUUAGAAUUGUUUUUGUCUUUGUUUUUGUAUCGUGCACGUUUAUUUUGUUGAGGCCGUUUUCAUUGGCCUUUGUAAAUAAAUUCCGGAAUGUAUAUUAAGUUUUUUCCCUUUUGGCAAUUUUGAAGUUUAUUAUUUUUGGCAUCCUAAUUGCAAAGAUUUCAAAUGUCUUAGCACUAAAUCAAAAGUGGUAAAAAGUCAUUUUUCGGAGGUCCGAACAAGAAUCGCCCUUAAUACAAGUUUUGCUUGAAACUUAUGGGGGCUCGGAGUGACAGAAAUCUUUCCCCAAGAUGCUCGUUUAAAUAUUUUUAGACUAUAUCUUUGCCAUGGGUAACCUUUGAACAGGAUUGAAAUUUUGUUGAAGGCCUUAUGUUUUGAUAAUCGGAUUCAGACGUCUCCAAAUUGUUUUUAGGGUGGUCGUAGCCUUAUAUGUUUGGGCACUGCCUAAUAGGUUUUGUGCCUCCGGAUUUUGAUAACCCAAGCCGUCCGAACUUAUCAAGGAUGGAAGUCCCCGAGUGGGGUUAGCCCUUUGGGCUCAGACAGGGGUGACCCUUACGCUCGAUAGUUCUCAGGUAGGAAUAGCCCUGAGGCUCGAUACUUUUAAGAAGCAAAGAGUGUUUAUUAGCAAGGUAGAAACUUUCUUUCAUUUCUAUGUGUAACGUACAAGAUUGUAUAAAAGCUCGUAUUGUGGCUGGGGUGACCUAUGCGGGCACAGUUUAUUUGACCAUUUGUCUCUUACAAUGAAUCCUAACCACCGAGCCAAGACUAUUCUAGCACAGAGUUUCCUUCCUUCUUUGAGUGGACUAGAUACUAUUGAUGUUACCACUGACUCUGAUUUAAAAUCGGUCUUCGACUCUACGUUAGCACAAUUUAUUGUUGCCUCAUUACAAACCUUGCCGGAAAACUCAUUCGGGAUAAAACCAGUUCAAGGAAAAAAGAGUGAAACGCAUGCUUUCAGGCCUAAUCAACUACUUUCUCCUUUGGUUGUUGCCUGCAAGUGUUAACCAAAAUUAAAUAAAAUAAAAUGAAUGAUGGUGUACCUUAGUAGUAGUAUCAUUUUAAGUGGGUCACGUUCCAGUUGUUUGAUAGUUGUAUGUCGUUUUCGGCUUCAGGUUUUUACGAACAUUUACCGAUAAUCCUGAUAACUCGAUACGGACCUUCCCAGUUCAAUCCUAGCUUCCAUUCAUUCGGGUUCUGCGUGCUCUACGUUACUCUUCUUAAUACCAAGUCACAGAUGUUGAAGUGCUAUUUGGUUGUAAUAUCUUUCUAUUCUCUAUUUUUGGGUGGCCAGCCGGACUAGAGCGGCCUCGUGCCUCUCAUCCAGUUAUUCUAGGCUCGUGCUUAUGGCUUCGCUAUUUGAUUCUUCGGUUGCAUAUCAGAACCUGAGGCUCGGUUCUCCUACCUCGACCGGUAUUAGUACUUCGAUAUCGAAGACCAAUGAAGAUGGGAUGGCCCCGGUAUUGGAUUUUGAGGUCGUGCGAUAUGCCCGCAAGACUUCGGGAAGGAUUUUCUUCCAUUUUCAUUUGGCAUCGGUCAACCUUUUCUUAAGGUUUUGAAGGAUUGUUUUGUUUGUCAACUCUGCCUUCCCGUUCCCACUAGGGUGAUAGGGUGUUGACAAGAUCUUCUUAAUCUUAUGGUCCUCGAAAAAUUUGUUGUCCUUGUUGUCGAUGAACUGCUUCACGUUAUCACAUAGUAUCUCGGCCGGUAUACCGAAUCGGCAUAUUAUGUGGUCCCAAAUUAAGUCGGUGACUUCUUUUUCCCGUGCCUUCUCGAACGCCUGAGCUUCAACCCAUUUAGAGAACUAAUCAGUCAUAAAUAGCAUAAAUUGAGCCUUACCGGGUGCCCAUGGCAGGGGACCAACGAUGUCCAUUCCCUAUUUCAUGAACGGCUAGGGCGACAUGACUGAGUGUAGUAACUCCACAGGUUGGUGAAUCAUUUGCGCAUGCCUCUGACAGCCAUCGCAUUUUCGCACGAAGUCCUUCACAUCUUUCUCCAUGUCGACCCAGUAAUAGCCGGCUCUGAUUAUCUUACGAACCAAUGAUUCUGCCGCCGAAUGGUUUCCGCAGGUGCCUUCGUGGACUUCCCUCAAAAUUUAUUCGGUGUCUCCCAGUCCCAAGCAUAUGGCGAGUGGGCCAUCGAAAGUUCUUCUUAACAGAGUACUAUCUUCAGACAGGCUAAACCUAGCCACCUUCAUGCGCAGAGCUCUCAAUUCUUUAGGAUCCAAGGGUAGCUUCCCGGUCUUCAGUUAGUCUAUAUACUUGUCUCUAUAGUCCCGGGUUAAACUUGUUGAAUUUAUCUCAGCGCGGCCUUCUUCUACUACCGAUUACAUGAGUUGUACGACCGUCCCCGAAUUGAAUUCAUCGUCAUCCACCGACGAACCCAAGUUAGCCAGAGCAUUGGUCUCGCUAUUUUGAUCCCAGGGCACGUGUUGUAGUGUCCAUUCCAUGAAUCAUUAUAGUGUUACAUGUAGUUUAUCCAAGUAUCUUUGAAUUCAUUCCACUUUUACUUCGAAUGUCCCAUUGACUUGAUUUACCACAACGAGGGAAUCAUAUUUAGCUUCGAUCACUUCGGCCCCUAGGCUUUUAGCCAAUUCGAUACCUGCAAUCAUGGCCUCAUACUCGACCUCAUUGUUAGUCAAUUUCACAGUUCUAAUAGAUUGUCUAACUACGUUACCUGUGGGUGGCUUCAAUAUGAUGCCAAGUCCGAACCCUUAUGCAUUUGAGACACCGUCCGUAAAGAGGGUCUAGAUCCCCGAGGGAGUUCUCGAGUUCAACAACAAUUCCCUUUCGACUUCGGGUAUUAGGGUUGGUGUGAAGUCGGCCACGAAGUCUGCCAAAAUUUGAGAUUUGAUGGAUGUUCGUGGUCGAUAUUCGAUAUCGUACCCGCUAAUAUCUAUGGCCCAUUUGUCCAAUCAUCCCGAGAGCUUGGGUUUUUGCAUAAUGUUUCUCAAUGGGUAAGUACUUACGACACAUAUGGGAUGGCAUUGAAAAUAUGGUACUAACUUCCUAGAGGCACUUAGGAAAGCGAGCGCCAAUAUCUCCAAGUGAGGAUACCUUGUUUCGGCCUCGCCUAGUGUCCUACUAACAUAAUAGAUAGGAAAUUGCGUACCUUCUUCUUCCUCUUCAACUAUGAAAUCACCCAACUCAGAACAUAAUCUAGGGAACCUCUCCACACAACCCUAAGCAACCCUAGCAUCGCCAACAUCACGGUCUUAGCAUGACAAUCAAGAAUAGUGUGACAUGGAGACAACCAAUCCAUGACCAAAAUCAUGUCAUAAUUAACCAUGCUAAGCAAUAAAAGAUCAACUCUCUUCUCAUAACCCCCAAUAGUCACCAUACACUGUCCACAAUAAUAGUAUCACCCAUCGGUGUAGAUACACGAACAAGCAUAACUAAAGAAUCACAAGGCAUAUCUAAAUAACGAGCAAAGUAUGAUGACACAUAUGAAUAAGGGGAACCAGGAUCAAAUAACACUAAUGUAUGCCUAUGGCACACUGAAGCAAUAUAUGUGAUCAUGACGUGGGAAGCAACUGCCUUUGGCCUGGUGGGAAAUGAAUAAAAACCGGUCUGACCACUGCCUUAACGACCUCCCCCUCUAGGGCGACCUCGUACUGACUGAGCCCCACCCCGAGCUGGUUGUGCGGGUGGUGUAGUAGCUGGUGCUGACAUCAUAGGAUGAGAGCUCUAUUGUGGGACCCUACUCAACUGUCUGAGGCAAUCCCUUUAGAGAUGACUCAAGUCUCCACACUCAAAACAACCCCUUCUGUAAGGCUACUGACCCUGAUAACUCGAAGAACUGCUUAUGGAAACCUGAGCAGAUGGAGUAUGAUAAGAAUUCUGUGCCAGUAGCGCACUGAAUGAUGACUAAGUUGGGCGUGCAUUGUAAGAACUGUAGCUAGCUGAAGAUCCACGGGGAGCAUGAUGAGCUGCUUGAAUGGGUCUAGAAGGAUGACCUCUGCCAUAAUGGGACUGGCCUCUAGUUGAGGCACUGCUGAAACUACCUAAAACACGAGGCCUCUUGGCCUCACGCUCAAGCUUGUAAACCUGCUCCAACCGUGUAGCAAUCUCGACAACCAGGUCAAACCUACCAUCCGUUGCAACCUCUCGAUCCAUAAUAUAACCUAAACAAUAGUUAAAUCCAUCAAUGAACCUCCUAAUCUUCUCCCUCUCAGUGGGAACUAACCAUAUAGCAUGUUGUGCAAAAUCUGCAAAUCUCAUCUCGUACUGUAUCACAGUCAUACCCUCCCGGUGUAGAUUCUCAAUCUCCCUAUGCAACUCCUCUCUACAAGUCUAUGGAACAAACUUCUCUAAAAUGAGAACUGAGAACUCAUGCCAUGUAAGUGGCACUACGCCAACUGGCAUGCCUAGGUCAUAAGUCUAUCACCAUCUAUAGGUUGUCCCUGUCAGCUGAAAAGUUGUAAAGGCAACCCCAUAAGUAUCCAAACUACCCGUUGUGCGAAGAAUCAACUGACAUCAGUUUAGAAAAUCCUAAGCAUCCUCUGACUCCCCUCCCCCCUGCUAAACUCUGGUGGCUUAAGCCUCCCAAACCGCUCCAACCUCUUCUGCUCCUCAUCACUCAACAACCGGCUGAACUGGUAACACCCCCUGUGUCUGAUGGUGUUGAGUUUGCUGCUCUUGAGUAUCGGCAGUAGGAGUCUGGGCACCUCCCCCAGUUUGUGAGGUAGCUGGUGCAACUGGAAUUGAAAUCGCUUGAGUGAGGCUCGUCCACAUAGUCAAAAUUUAAGCCAAGGCCUCUUGAAGGUUAGGAACAACAAUAGGCACAAUUGGUGACUGAGCUGGGCCCACAAACUCAGUAGUAUCUAUAACCUGGUCCACAACUUGAGCAAUUGGUGGCUCCAUAUGAGUUGCUCUGGCUAUAGAGUGAGACCCACCUUGGCCUCUACCGCGACCUCGGCCUCUCACAGCCCUAACUGGUGGUACUAAUGCAUGUCCUCCUGAUUCAACUGCACGUGUCCUCAACAUCUGUCAGAGAAUAGAAGAGUGAAUGUUCAAACUUUGGAAAUAACAAAUCUGCACAACAGGAAUGCAAGAAAGUGAAAUUUUUCCUAACAAUUAGGUAGACUCUCGAAGAUAAGUACAGUCGUCUCUAUACAGAUCCGCAAGACUCUACUAAACUUACUCAUGACCCGUUAUACCUAUGAAUCUCGGACUCUGAUACCAACUUAUCAUGACCCAAUAUCCCAACCCACAGUGAUGGUGCCUAACACACUUGCUAGGCAAGCUGGAUAUAACCAUAAUGAACAAAGAUAGUAGAAAUAAUAGAAUUAACAUAAGUCUAAAACCUUAACAUAAGUUAAUAAUACCAAUACAUGAUAAAUCCCCCGGAACUUGUAAACACAGAUUCAUGAGCUCUAAAUGGGAAAUACAAGUCUGAAAGCUAUAUAACAACACUAUCUGAAGACAACAGUACAAUGUGGAAAGAGACGCCAUGACUGCGGUCGAGGAAGCAACUCUACCUCGUCUCUCGAUGACCAACUCGACUAGCAAACUCUGUUACUGGUGACUGGGUUCGACACCUGGAUCUGCACAAUUAAGUGCAGAGUGUAGCAUGAGUACAACCGAAUAAACCUCUGUGAGUUAAAAAAAGCAAGAAUUAUAAAUGAUACUAGCUAUAACAUGUACAGUUCAUAAAUUUAACAACUACAAAAUAGUGAUAUGACCAAAUCAUGUAAACACGAAUAAACCACCUUGGUGCCCACAAUUAUACAUGUACUCUUCUCAGUCAACGAUCCAACAUAUAAGCAUGAUAUGCAAGUAAAUCAGUUAACUAAUCAUGGAAAUUGUAAGUAAAGAUGAAAUGCAAUAACAAAGUAACACUGGACAUAUUUUCCUCAGAAUUUCCAAUACACUACCAAACAACUUAUCAAUUUUUCCUAAUCAUCAAGAGAGAAACAUGAGAGGGUGGACCUAGGGGGAUGAAUUCAUAUCCACACGCAACAUGCAUAAUUUAACGUGGUAUCAGCCCAUCGUGGUCACAUGCUUAAUAUCAUAAUCCACCCUGCGUGGUCACAAGCUAUAUCUCAAUUCGCCUGGUGUGGUCACAUGCAUAACAACGUAAUCCGCUAAGUGCUGUCACAGGCAUAACAACACAAUCUGCCCGACACGGUUGCAGGCAUACAACACAAUCCGCCUGACGUGGUCACACGCAUAACAACACAAUGUGCCCGGCAUGGUCAUAGGCAUCCAGUCCAGAUCAUAUCACACAGAAGCAAAUAUACAAGAAUACAUGUGUAUGAUCAAUGAAUAUUGGAUUUCAUGCUCCUGGACUGGUAUAAGUGACUUGCUAAAGUGCAUGCAUGUGCAACGUAUACUAUCAUAGCUCAAAUCAGCAAUUUGAUCACGAAUAUAGCAAAUAUCAAGUUAAAUAAGGAGAUUAGCCGCUCAGUAAUCUCAAAAUAUGGAUCAAAUAGCUCACAAUAGGGUACAUCUAUGAGAAAAAUCACAGCUUAAUGCUUAAUUAUCAACUCAAGAUAUAUCAUAGCCUAAGCACUACCCCGGUCAUGUAUAAAUAAAUUGGAGCUUGCACAUGGACUCUAUCCCCACACACAUGCGCACCCAUAACAUGUAUCUAUGAUAAAUAAUUUAGGAAACUAGUGCCUCAACCAAGUUUAGGUAAGAUACUUACCUCAAGCAAGUCAAAUCACUCCGCUAACAAGUCCUUCCUGCAUGUAUCAACCUCUGUACAUCUCGCAUCUAGCCAAAAAAACUUAAUAUAAUCAAUAAAAACCAAGGAAUUGAUUCAAUGUGAUAAAGCUAAGAUCUUAAACUAAAAUCAAAAAGUCAAUCCAAAAAUCCAACCUCGAGAUCGCAUCUCGAAACCCGACCAAACUCAUAAAAUUUUGAACAUCAUUCAAUUACGUGUCCAACCGUACAAAUUUCAUCCAAUUCCAACCACAAAUCGACCCUCAAAUCAUCAAAUCUCACUCUCUAAUAACAUAGUCGAAAAAUCCCCAAAUUUCACCUUAUAUUCAUAUAGACUAGGUGUAAUAAUCAAUAGGUAAUCAAUAUUUAUCAUCAAAUGUGAUUAGACUUCACUUAUGUCAUCAAUUAUGGUGAAACGAACUCCAAAAAUUGCCCUUAGACGAUCUCCAAAAAUUCAAAAUGAGAAGAAUUCUUCGACAUAUGUAAUCUGUGCAGCAAAACCGCAUAUGCGGUCAAAAUAAUCGUACAUGUGAUGCUGUAAUUGCGGAAAAUCCAUCACAGAUACGGAAAUUCAUUAAUCGUCGAUCGUCCUCUUCUACGAAUCAACCCUCGCACAUGCGAAAGCGCAUAUGUGCUCCUUCAUCCGCUUAUGCGGACUUCCCCACCCAACUCAAUGUCCGCACCUGCGCGCACCUUGUCACACAUGCGUAUCCGCACUUGCACUCCGUGGUCCGCAUCUACGAUCUCGCAAAUGUAGAAAUUCCCCCGAACCUGCGCUCCAAAACAGUCUCUACAUUUCCUCGCACCUGCGCACAAAUGGAUGCUCCUGCAGCUUCGCAUGCGUAAACAACACAAAUCAGGUUUCUUCAAUAGUCUCACUAAGUCCACAAUUGAUCUGAUCUCAUCCCGAAACAUACCCGAGGCCCCCUGAAACUCCAACCAAACAUACCAAAAAGUCCGAAAAAACAAUAUGAACUUACUCGCUGCCUCAAAUCACAUCAAUCAACACCAAAAUCAUGAAUCUUACCCCCCAAUUCAAGCCUAAUGAAACUAAUGAACUUUCAAAUUCCAAAACUCAUGGCGAACCAUAUCAAAUCAACUCCGAAUGACCUCAAAUGUUUCAUGCAAGUCCCAAAUGACACAGCGGACCUAUUCUAACUUUUGAAACCAAAAUCCAAACCCGAUAUUAAUAAAGUCAAACUCCCGGUCAAACCUUUCACCCUUUUAAACCUACAACUUUCCUACUUUCGCCAAAGAGAACCAAAUCAAGAUACGAGCCUCCAAAUCAACAUCCGGACAUACCCCGAAGUAUAAAUUCACAAUACGAAGCUAUUGGAACUAUCAAAACUGCAUUCAAGAGUCAUCCACACAACAGUCAAACUCUGGUAAACUCUUUCAAAUGAAGCUUCCAACCUUGGGACUAAGUAUCCCAAUGCACUCCAAGACCUUCCCAAAAUCAAUUCAACCACCCGGACAAGUCAUAUAACCACAAAUGAACAUAGAAUAGGCAAUAAAUAGGGGAACGGGGCUACAAUACACAAAAUGACCGUCCUGGUCAUUACACAAGUAAAUGCAUACAUCGAAUCAUUGUAUAAAGUAAAUGGUAGCAGGUAAAAAAUAUAGACAAUUAGAAAGUGUAAGCAUAUAUAUAUAUAUAACGUAAGACAUGUUUCAAGUUAGGGAACAUAGUAAGGGAAAACACAAAAUAAGAAAAGAUGUAGUACAAUUCAUGGCAUGAAGUAAGCUAGAACACCCUGCAUGCUUAUAAUGCGCUCAACCCCCUAGCCUCAAAUGUGCUCAAUCCUCCUGGCGAUAUCCAUUACCUGAGCAAACUAAAUCUCAGUCUCUACCUCUCUAACCAUUUGAAGUCUGAUGCCAUAUGUAAGACCCUCUAUGAACCUCCUCACAUUCUCCGUCUUAGUUGGGAUCAGGAUAACUGCAUGGCGAGACAAAUCAACAAAUCUAGUCUUAUAUUGAGUAAUGGUCUUGAUACCCCGCUGAAGGCGCCCAAACUGGCUACGUAGAUAAUCUGUUUAAGUGAGGGGAAUAAACUUCUCCAAGAACAACUGAGAAAAUCGAGCCCAUGUGAAAGGAGGUGAUCUUGCUGGUCUACCUAGGUCAUAACCUGCCACCACCUCUUGGCUGACCCAUGCAUCGGAAAGACGGUGAAAUCCACUCCAUUAGACUCAACUAGUCCCAGGUUACACAAAAUCUCAUGGAAACGAUCCAAGAAGUCCUUGGCAUCCUCUAAAGAUCUAUCGCUAUAAUGCCCUGGCCGAUCGUUUUGUGUAUUUGAGACAUGUUCCCCUAUUUGAUGUUUUUGUAUGUUUGUUUGUGGUUUUUUGACUUGCGGGGUUGAUUGGUUUGGCUUUGGGAAGGUUUGUUAGUGAUUUGGAACACUUAGUGUUAUCUAUGGAAGCAUAAAUUAUAAGAGUCGAUCAAGGUUUGACUUUUGUAUAAUGACCUUGGAAUGGUGUUUUGAUGGUUCCUCUAGGAUCAAUUCUCUCAACCCAUCAAUGUUUGGAACACAAAUCCGGCAUUGAAGCCGCAUAACACCUUUAUCUCCAAUCACAACCUCCUUAGCAUCACCUCAUUUCACUGUGUCUUUCAACACCAACAAGUGAGGAUCAUCAAACUGGCGAGCCUUGAUACGCUCCAACAACUAUGAAUGUGUCACAACACAAGCAAUAACCCGACUAGGAUCUAAAACAUUUAAUCUCACAAAUUGAUAGGUCAUGGCCUGAACAUCCAUAGCCAGUGGCCUCUCCACUACCGGUAUGUAUGCCAAACUACCCAUGCUCUUAGCCUUCAUAAUCAAUGAAUUGGCCACUACAUUGGCCUUCCACUAAUGAUAUAAUAUGGUGAUAUCAUAGUUUUUCAACAACUCUAGCCAUCUCCACUACCGCAAAUUAAGAUAUUUCUGCUUGAACAGGUGCUGGAGACUCUGAUGUUUGGUAUAGACCUCACAUGGAAUGUAGUAUAGAUAGUGCCUCCAAAUCUUCAGCGCGUGAAUCAUGGCUUCCAACGCUAAAUCUUGCACUAGGCUAUUCUUCUCAUGAACCCUCAACUGUCGAGACACUUAGGCAAUCACCCUACCAUCCUGCAUCAAUACCGCACCAAACCUAAUAAAUGAUGCAUCACAACACACGGUGUAAGAUCCCGAACAUGUAGGUGACACAAACAAUGGGUUCUACUCAAUGCAGUAUUGAGCUUCUGAAAGCUCAACUCACACUCGUUAGACCAUCUCAAAAGAGCACCCUUUUGGGUCAACUUGAUCAAUGACGAUGAGAUAGGUAAAAACCACUCCACGAGCUCGCGAUAAUAACCCGCCAAACCCAAGAACCUCCAAAUCUAUGUAGCUAAAGUAGGUCUAGGAUAGUUCUAAACUACCUCAAUCUUCUUAGGAUCCACUUUAAUGCCUUCGAAAGACACAACAUGGCCCAAAAGGAAACUGAUUCCAACCAAAAGUCACAUUUUGAAAACUUGGCAUAAACCUGACGAUUCCUGAAAGUCUGAAGUGCGAUGAACAGAUGUUGCUCAUGCUCCUCUCGACUGCAGGAGUAAACCAAAAUAUCAUCAAUGAAAAAGAUCACAAAAGACUCCAAAUAGGGCUUGAACACCUUGUUCAUCAAAUCCAUAAAGGCUGAUGGGAUAUUAAUCAAGCCAAACGACAUCACCAUAUACUCGUAGGGACCAUACCGAGUAUGCAAAGCUGUCCUAGGGACAUCCGAUGCCUUAAUCAUCAACUGACUGUAGCCAGAUCUCAAGUAAAUCUUCGAAAAAACCUUGGCACCUGAAGCUGAUCAAAUAAGUCAUCAAUCAUCAGCAACAGAUACUUUUUUAGAUAGUGACUUCAUUUAGCUGCUUGUAAUCUAUACACGUUCUCAUCAUCCCAUCCAUCUUCGUCACAAACAACACCGGUGCACCUCAAGGCGAGACACUCAAUCUAAUGAAUUCUUUAUCAAGCAAAUCCUGCAACUGCUCCUUCAUUUCAUUCAACCCAACUGCGGCCAUAUGGUAUGGUAUGGUAGAAAUAGGCUGAGUGCCUAGAACCAUAUCAAUGCAGAAGUCGAUAUCUCUAUCGGGUGGUAUCCCCGACAAAUUUGUGAAAACACCUCUAGCAAAUCGCACACAAUUGGUAUCGAAUCCAUGGAAGGAACCUCCGUACUAGGAUCACAUAUAUAGGCCAAAUAUGUUAGACAUCCCUUCUUGACCAUAUAUCAAGCCUUCACAUAUGAAAUGACCCUACAAGUAGAAUGGUCAGACAUCCCUCUCAACUCUAAUUGAGGCGACCCCAGCAUGGCUAAUGUCAUAGUCUUUGCUUGAUAGUCCAAAACAGCAUGAUAAGGUAAAAACUAUUCAAUGCCAAACAUCACAUCAAAAUCCACCAUAUCAAGGAAUAUAAGGUCUACCCUAGCCACAUAACUCCUAAUACUAAUCAAACAAGCAUGGUAUACCCGGCCUACCACAAUAUAAUAUUCGCCAGGAGUUGACAUAUAAAGAGGGGCACUCAAAAAAUCGCGAGAAAUAUCUAAAUAUAAAGCAAAAUAGGAUGACACAUAUGAAUAAGUGGAACCCGGAUCAAAUAGAAUUGAUGCAUCUUUAUAGAAAACUCGAAUAUUACAUAUGAUGACGUAUCCGACGACUCUACCUCAAGUCUAGCUUGGAAUGCAUAAAAAUGAGGCUGAGCCCCACCGCUCUGACCCCCGCCUCUCAGACAGCCUCUAACUGGCUGACCACCACCUCUAACUGCCUGGCCACCACCUCUAGCUGCCUGACCCCACCUCUAGCUGCCUGAGCGAGUAGUGUUGCAACUUGUGCCAGAAUCAUGGCAUGAGUACCCUAUUGUUCUCUGCUGCUCCUCAAUCUGGGAUCCUACCACACGAUAUAACAUGCGUCGCCACACUGAAAGCAACCCCGCGGCUGGCCUAACUACUGAGUCUGAGAUGAUCCCUGAUUACCCGAAUGACCACUGUAGUAACUAGUAUCAUAGAUGAUUAUCCUUGAAGAGGCUAUCACCUUAGGAAAAGAUCAAGAUGAGUGCACCAACAGGAAAUUGGGAAGGGAAAUCCACUACUAGGUUACAACUCUUCAAUGGCCAGUGCUACUCUUGGUGGAAAACAAGGAUGAGAGACCACUUGUAGGUAGAAGAUUACGAGCUAUGGGAUAUAAUCAUUAAUGGUCCAUAGCCAACACUGAAUAAAAAUGGUGAAGGUGACGAUGUUCCAAAGACAAGAGCUGACUACACUGGCGAGGACUUGAUGUAAUGGGAGAAGAAUGCUAAAGCCAAGAAAUGGCUUAUCUGUGGACUUGGUCAAGGUAAGUAUAGGAGAAUCAAAGGCUACUUCACUACCAAACAAAUAUGGGACAUACUGCAAGUGGCUCAUGAAGGAACAACUCAGGCAAAAAGAUCAAUAGGAACCUUGUUGUUUUCCCAAUAUGAAAACUUUUCCAUGAGAGAUACAGAAACCAUUCAGGAGAUGUACACAAGGUUCACUACCUUGACAAAUGAACUAAAGUCUCUUAGAAGGAUUAUACCCAAAGAAGAAAGGGUUAGGAAGAUUGUAACUAGGGUUAUACCAAUCACUUCGGAAAGAAAGAUCACUACUAUUCAGGAAUAAAAGAACAUUGCUACACUUCCUUUGAAUGUGUUGAUUAGAAAUCUCAAAGCUUAUGAACUUAGAAGGCAAACUAUGAACAUGAAUGUACCUAAGAAGGAAAGGAGUCUGGCACACAUAAUCACUGAAGUUUCUGAUUUAGAAGAUGAUGAAAUGGCAAUGAUUACCAAAAACUUCAAGAAGUACCUAAGGAUAGGAAAGGGUUCUUCAAGAAAUGGAAGCUACAGCAAGGCCAAAGUUCCAAAGAAGCAGGUAAAUGACGAAUGCUAUAAAUGUGGUAAGCUUGAUCACAUAAUCAAGAACUGUCCCUUGUGGGAAAUUGAAUGGAAAAAGGAAAGAGCUGAAUGAAGAAAUAGGAAGAAGGAGCAGGUUCAUCCCAAGAAAGGCAACAACAAAGGAUAAACCAAGGAAAUGGUUGCUGCUUGGGGAGAUAUCUCAAAUGAGAGCUCAGAUGAUGAUGGACGAGCUCUAAUGUCUAUUGGAGAAUCUGUGGAAAAACUUGAGGUAAGUAUGUUUCAAUCAAAAGGUAAGAUUAAGUUUUUGUCUAAAGAAAGAUUAUCUGAAUUACUACUAGAACUAAUUGAUGAGUCUGGAGAAGUUAAUAAUGAAAAGGAACUGUUGUCAAAUGAGUGUUUCAUUUUGAAAGCAAACGGAAAAAAUCUGGAAUUAGGGCUUACGAAACUGAAAAUGAAAAUGUUGUGUUGAAGAACGAGAUUCAUGCACUUCACACAUCUGUUCUAGAACUUAGAUAUGAAAUCUGAAAUUGAAGUUGGGAACAGGUAAAGAAAUACCUAGUGACACACAACUCACACUAGAAGGAGAAUUUGGAAAGGUAAAAGAUAAGGUUAUAUAAAAGAGAUGAACAUGUAAGAAUUUUGAAAGAGGACUUGACUAAGGUUAAGAAUGAGCUAGAUAGAAUAUGUAAAUGGAACCGGUCCUCUGAUGCACUGUCAUGACUAUAAGAACACCAUAGUAACAACAGAAGGAGACUUGGCUUUGAGAGCACUGCACCUAAAUGCGAUCCAAAAAUCAAGUACCUCACACUCCUUGAGAAUAAUAUUUGUACUCACUCUGGUAACACUGGUCACUAUAAGACUAAAUGUGCUACAAAAGAAAAGGCAAGUCUAAAGAACAAAAUAACUGUUCUAGUGAAAAAUAGGCUGCCAAGUUGGGCAAAGAAGAAUAUGAUUUAUCUUUUUGCCUAUAGAAAUUGACGCAAACUAAUUUGGGUUCCUAAGACUAACCCCUGAUUUCCUUUUGCAGGUCCCAGUGAAGGAGAGUAUCCAAAUAUGGUACAUGGAUAGUGGUUGCUUAAAGCACAUGACAGGAAUUAAGAACUAGUUCCUUUCACUUGCGGACCUUAAAGGAUGUAAUGUCUCCUUUGAAAGUGGAAAGAAAUAUUCGAUCAUUGGAGUUGGGAAGGUAGGUAAAUUUGACUCUCAAUCCAUUGAGAAUGUCUACCUGAUAGUUGAACUGAAAUAUAGCUUGAUAAGUGUAUCACAACUAUGUGAUAGAGGAAACAUGGUAGCCUUCACCUCUACAAAGUGCUUUAUGAUAAAUCUUACCACUGACAAAAAAGUAUUGCGGGUAAAAAGAGUAAACAACAUAUAUGUGGUGGAUCGUUCCACGCUUUCACUUGAUUAAGUGUGUUGGACAAUGAUCCCCUCCUAUUGCAUAAGAGACUUGGACAGGCAAGUCUGAGUAAAUGCAACAAAUUAGUCUCUAAAGACUCAGUGAUAGGGCUGCCUAACAUUAAGUUCAAGGAAGAUAAAAUUUGUGAGGCUUGUGAAAGGGGGAAGCAUGUAAGAUCAUCGUUUAAAAGUAAGAAAAUGGUAAGUACUACCAGGUCGAUGGAAAUGGUCCAUAUGGAUCUGUAUGGACCAAUGAGGACAAUAAGAAGAGGUGGUAAUAGAUAAAUUAUGGUGUUGUUGAUGAUUAUUCUAGGUUUACUUGGACAAUGUUUUUAACAUCUAAAGAUGAACCAUUUGACAUGUUUACUUCAUUUGUUAGAAAAACUCAUAAACAACUAGGUAAUUAACUUGCAUCAAUUAGGUCUGAUCAUGGUACAGAGUUUGAGACUGCAAAAUUUAAUAAAUUUUUUGAUAAAUCAUGGCAUAAAUCAUAAUUUCUCUGCUCCUAGAACUCCACAAUAAAAUGAAGUAUUUGAUAGAAAGAAUAUGACAUUGGAAGAAAUGGCUAGAACCAUGUUACUUGCUAGUAAGCUGCCCCACAGUUUCUAGGCAGAAGUUGUGAACACUGCAUGCUACAUCAUAAAUAGGUGCAUGACUCGACCUCUUAUUGAGAAAACAUCCGAUGAGUUACUUAAUGGGAGAAAGCCUAAUAUAUCUCAUCUUGGGGCAUUUGGAUGCAAGUGCUUUGUGCACAGUAAUGGAAAGGACUCCAUAGGAAAGUUUGAUCCCAGAAGUAAUGAGGGAGUAUUCUUGAGAUAUUCUUCACAUAGUAAAGCUUAUAAGAUAUACAAUAAAAGUACUAUGUGCGUAGACGAAAGUGUACAUGUUGUUUUUUAUGACACUAACAUUCUUUCUGAGAGGCAGGAACAAGAUGAUGAAGAGAUUAGGUUGACAAGAAAUUAAACUAAUGAAACCACAGUCCAAUAUGAAGCUUUAUCAUAGGAAGGAGCAUGUGAUGGAACAGGUGAUGGAAUAGGUCAUUCCACCUAGGGAAACCUGACCAGGGGAACUGACCAAAGAGGAACUGAUCCUUGAGCCUUGAGGGAACCUAUCCAUGAACAUGUUCUUCAGCAACAAAACAAUGAAGGAACAUCUGGAAAAACCAGUUGAUUGUGAAACCUUACAAGUAUCAAAUUUCUCACCCUAUAGGGAACAUAAUCACUGAUCCAACCUCUAGAAUCAAAACCAGAUCUUCUUUAAAGAUUCUUUGUGCCUUUGAUGCUUUUUUACUUAUUGAAACUAGAAAUAUUUUUGAGGCUUUACAUGAUAUAGAUUGGGUGAAUGCAAGACAAGAUGAACUCAACCAAUUUCAGAGAAGUCAAGUUUGGCAUCUGGUACCAAGACCCAAGGAAAGAACAAUGAUUGGCACUAAAUAGUUCUUCAAAAACAAACUUGAUGAAGAAGGAACAAUUACAAGGAACAAAGCAAUAUUGGUGGUUCAAGGAUAUAGUCAAGAGGAGGGCAUAGAUUAUGAUGAGACUUUUGCUCUAGUUGCAAGAUAUGAAGCAAUUAGACUCCUAUAGCCUUUGCUGCUUACAUGGAAUUCACUCUUCAUUAUAUGGAUGUCAAGAGUGCCUUCCUCAAUGGAUAUCUAAAGGAAGAAUUAUUUGUCAAGCAACCUCCUGGCUUUGAAAGUAAGGAAUGUCCUGAGCAUGUGUACAAACUUGACAAGGUUAUUUAUGGGCUCAAAUAGGCUCCAAGAGCAUGGUAUGAAAGAUUGUCCAAAUAUUUUCUUAAGCAUGGCUAUAAGAGAGGUAAAAUUGAUAACACUUUAUUCUUGAAAGAAAAAGGUAAAGAUCUUUUGGUAGUACAGAUAUAUAUUGAUGAUAUAAUCUUUAGAGUAACUACUGAUGGGUUAAGUAAAUAGUUUGUUAAGCUAAUGGGGAGGGAAUCUGAAAUUAGUAUAAUGGGUGAGAUUAAUGUCUUUUUAGGCCUACAAAAUUAAGAAAAAUUCAAAUGGAACAAUGAUCCAUCAGCAAGCAUAUGUGAAAGAGUUCUCAAAAUGUUUAAGAUGGAAGAUUCCAAAGAAACUGACAUUCCUAUAGCAACAACCACGAAGUUGGAUUUAGAUGAACCUGGUUCAUGGAUUGAUAAGAAAAUGUAUAGGGGAAAGAUUGGAUCUUUAUUAUAUCUCACUACUAGUAGACCUGGAAUUAUUUUCAGUGUAGGCCUUUGUGCUAGAUUUCAGGCAAAUCCAAAGGAGUCUCACUUGAAGGUUGCCAAGAGGAUCUUGAGAUACUUAAAAGGCACAACGGAUCUUUGCCUAUGGUAUCCAAAAGGUAAUAAUUUUGAUUUAGUGGGAUAUGUUGAUGCUGAUUAUACAAGUUUUCUUAUGGAUAGAAAGAGUACUUACGGUAUGUCACACUUUCUUGGCUUAUGUCCAGUGCCUUAGGACACCAAAAAGCAAAAUUAUGUGACUUUAUCUACUAUUGAAGCUGAGUAGGUGGUUGUUGCCUCAUGUUGUGCUCAAAUACUGUGGAAUAAACAACAAUUAAUGGACUUUGGAAUUGAUGUAGGAUGUAUCCCUAUCUCUUAUAACAAUAAUUGUGCAAUCAGUAUGACCAAGAACCCGGUUUAUCACAAAAGAACUAAGCACAUAGAUAUUAGGCAUUAUUUUAUUAGGGUUAGUUUUGAGAAAGAUUUGAUCACUUUGGAAUUUUGUACUACUGAUAAGAAAAUUGUUGGCAUCUUCACAAAAGCCUUGAGUGGAGAUCACUUUGAAAGGAACAUUUUAGAAUUAUGGAUGAUUAAGAUCACUUAAAAGAAAUCGGCUCUAACUCAAUGAUUGGUAAGAUAAUUUAUAAAUUUUUUAAAUAAUUAGAUUAGAUAUUCCUCGGUCUCUUACUUUUAUUAGUAUACUUUUGUGCCAUGUGCUAAAAUGUCUCACUGAUGUUUAAUGAUAUUACUCUUAUUUUCUUGGAAACAAAUCAGUCUUACAUAAGAAAACUUUUAGUGACGAACCUGGUUCAUUGAGCUUAUAAGGUAUGUAUUCUACACUGCAUAAUUUGAAUAACAGCAUAUGGAUGAUGUUCUGAAAAUAGUCCCACGUUAUCUUAAAAUACUUUUGAACCAAUCAGUUGCAAAUGAACCAGUUUCACCCUUAAACACACGUGCCAUAAUUGCCGAGAUUUUUGGGGAAGAGUCCAACGUCUCUUCAAACUAACACUCCCAAGAUGAUUAGACUUCUAACCUCCAAAAGCUACCAUUAUACACUCCAUCUCUUCCCUCUUUAGAUUGAUUCAACUUAACCCUAUUCUUCACUCAAAAACUUUGAAAGAUCAAAAUACUAAUUUCUCUCAAGCCUUCUACACUAAUCAAAUGGAAAACACAUCUGAAAAUGCCAACAUUGAAAAAACGUCUUCACCACCCAAAGAACCCUCACCCACACCUUCAAACACUCAAACCCCCAAGAAAAAAACAUGCGAAGAUGCUUGCACGAAAAAUAAAGUCUAGUAAAGAACAGACCAGGAUAUUGAAUGAGAAAUUGCAGGCAAGCCACACAAAAGAAGCACAAAAAUUUGAUGAGUCCUUCAAGUGUGCAAUUAAGGGGGAACAAUCAGUUUCAUCUAAGACUAAACAUGUAACUUCUGGGCUGAAAUUGUUUUAUGUUUCUUCUGAAGUCGUUGACAAGCUUGAGAAUAGGUUUGUACUGGGGUGGUACAAUUGUUGGUGUAGAAACUGGUGUGACUGAAAAAAUAGGUGGUAAAAAUGAUGAAGGAAAAGAAAACGAGAGUGAGGGUAUUGAAUUAGAUGUGAUGGGAAGGGGAGACGAAGGAGUGAUUGAACCUGACAGAAAAAACAUGGGCAAUGGUCUUGUGGUGUGAGGAUAGUGCUGAUCAGGAAGAGAGUAUUAGAAAAGAAAGAGGUAGUGGGCCUAGGGAUUCUUCUACAGCGGAGGGGCUGGUUAGGUUGAGGAAAAGGUUUCAAGAAUCUGUUCCAUCUAAGAAGGAACGUCUCCAUGACCUACUGCAGAAAGUAUGGAUAGUUACAAUCCUAAUAAAAAGAAAAGUGUAGUAGUUAAGAUCCCUGAAAAAGUAGCGGGUGGAAAGAAAAGGAAAGCUUCUUCUUCUAUCCCUGUAGAGACUCUUCCCACAGGAGGAAGAACUAUAAGGAGCCAGAAGAAACAGAGUGAGGCCAACCUAAAAAAGGCCUUAGCUAAGAGUGCCAUGAAAGUUACUGCUAAAGGGAAGAAAAAGGUUGGUGAAAUGAGUGAGGCAAUUGAGAAAGUGGAGAUAGACCUGGUCCUUGAUGAUGAUGAUGAAGCAGAGGAAGUGAAGGUUGUGAGUCCCAGUGCUAAAAACAGAGAGACUUCUAAGAAGAAGUCUCAAGACAAGUCCAUUGCAAUAGAGGACUCUGCCUUGUCCAAAAGAACUAGGUUUGCAAGGAAAUCAAGAAAAAUUCAAAUAAUGGUAGAAGAAAUUGAAGAAGAGGAGACUGAUGAGGAAAAAGAAAAAUUGGUGAAGUUCCAGAAAAGAAAAGUUAUGAAAGGGAAGCUUCUUAGUGAUUUAAAAAGAAUAAGUGAUGGUUCUGCUACUGGAGAAAUUUAAAACACAAGGUUGGAAGGACAUGGUCCUUCAUCUAGAAGGAAGGUUGGACAGGGCUGAAAUUGUUGAAUUCUUGCAAAUUGUGAGAUUGUAAAUGGAAGGGUCAACGAUGAAGUGAAAGUAGUGAAGGUGAUAUUUGAUUAUAAAGAACUAGGGGGAUUAUAGCUAUACCCGUUGAGAAAGAGGAGAUAGACCUGGUAUAAUGACUAUACCAAGUUGAAGUGCACUAGUAUAUAAAAGCUUCCUAUCUCAUUGGCCAUCACCAGGGAAUUUACUAAUAGGGAGUUAGAGCAAGAACCCAGGGUUAUUUAUAAGAGUGAAAUGAAACCUGCCCACAAAGUGCUAUUUGAAUUUGUCAACAAAGUGGUUCUGCCCAAGCAGGAAAGAAGGUAUAUUGCUACCUUUAUGGACCUGGUCCUUAUGGAAUGCCUAGAUAUUGGCAUGCAAAUGAACUGGUCAGGGUUCAUAAUCCAGAUCUUUCAUAAGGUUGUUUGUGGCACUAAAACUCAUGACAUUCCCUAUGGCUUUAUCCUAACUGAUGUGUUUGACUAUUUCAAGGUCCCCUCAAUAAAUGGGAUGUUAGCAUGAGUAAAGACUACUUUGGGCCGAUACUUUGACUGACUCUAUCUAUGAAGUCCAAACUGCUCCCAAAGAACUUGAUUCAUCAAUGAGGGUACCUAAGAACAACAAGGUUAGAGUAUUGGAGUAGGAGAGUGGGGCUAAGAAUGUUGAGAUUGAUAAUCUGAAGAAAAGACUGGCUGAAGUAGAAGCUUAGAGGGACUCUCUCAAGUCUAUGGUUCCAAAGGAGGAACAAAAGAAUGAGGGUAUUUUUCACGACAUGUUGAACCUGCUUAAGGCCAGGAGCCAAAAACCUGGUCCUUCCUAGUCCUUAACCUUUCCUAGCCCAGUUUGUAACCAGUGACCCAAGUGGGAUUCGUUUGUGCUUUGGUUCUCAUGGUUCUAUGCUUUAUUUCUUUUUAUGCUUUGUGGAAGAAUCUUAUCAAUAAUAUUCACUUAUUUUGCUCUAAUUAUUUAUUGAUAUUUCUUAGAUGUCUAAUAUCCUUAGGUUGAUAAGAGAAUAUUGAAUCUAUGAUUUCAUUUGAAGUAGCCUCAGUGGCCAUGAGUAAUAUCUACUAAAAUUUGGUGACUUAACUUAAUUAUACAACUUUUCAAUGAUACAAAAAUGGGGAAGAUAAGUUGUGAUUUUGCUUUGGACUAUGAUGUAACCUAAUGAACCUGGUCCUUGAUGAUUUGUGACUUUACAUGGAAAGUAUUUUGACAUUGUGUUUGAUGUUGAGCUGAGCUGAAACAUGUUCCAUACUUUUGAAAAGCACAGAGUUUGUCAUCAUUAAAAAGGUGGAAUUUGUUGAGCUGAGUGAUUUUGGUUUUGAUGAUUGACAAAGAAACACAUGUAUGAACCAGGUCCAGGCACAGUGUACACAGGUUACAGUCAGAUUUAAGCAAAAGGCAUGCACAUGCAAGGGAUAAGUAUACGUGGUUAUUUCUGAUAUUCCCUGAACGAAAAAGAAUGCAUAAUUGAUAAGGAGUUGGACUCCUUACUUGAUGAGAACUCUAUCCUAGAUAAGGAAAGGCAUAGAGAUUGAAGUUACUAAACCUCUUCCACCGACGAAGAGUAAAGCAUUAGGUUUCUAGCUAAUCUUAAUCCUACUAACUCUAUACAUAUUAGUUGUGUUCUCUUUUACACGUGACACACACACGCUAAAGUUAGGAAUGAAUUGAUAGCAAAAUAGCAAGCAUUACCUGUGUGUUUCAAGAGUGCGAACCCGAAGCUACAUCAACCAGAUAGUCGAACUUGUUCCAUGUGUCUGUCUUUUAUUCUAGUUCAAUUGUAGUAGGAGCUUUUGAAUUGUACCUUUUCUCUUUCUUAUAAUCUAAUUGUAUUAGGUAUUUGAGUUGUAUCAUUCAAGUUCGAGUUAACUUGAAGUAGUCGGAACUUCCUAUGACUGGUUGCUACUAGGGUUAGGUAAUCCUUAGUUUUACAAGAGUUUGUAAACAUUGUUGUUUUGGCUCAGAGUUGUAGUGAAGUUUUGGGAAAAAUCCUACUAGGAAGUAGGUCGUGGUAUUUUCACCUUUUGAGCCAGGUGUUUUCCAAAUAAAAAUACUUGUGUUCUUUACUUUCUACAUUAUUUAUUCCGCAAUAAAAAAUUAAGGAACGCAUAGAAGAACCAGGUCUUUCUAUAAUCCAUUGCACGCGAAAAUUGGACACCGCACAAAUCACUCCAUGUUGUGUGGUAUUGAAGUAUAAAACAUCAAUAACUUAGUAACGGUGGUGCGCUAAUAGGAGCUCAAGGUGUACUGAAUAAUGGCCGCUUAGAACGAGAUCCAUAAAAACCACGACUGCCCAAAGAACCAUGUGUUACCUGAAGCGCUGACUGAAUCGACUUGUGAGGAUGGCCUCUACCAAAUGAACCCUUGCCUCAAGAUAAGGCAUCACUGAAACCACCAAAAUGACUAGGCCUCUUCUCAGAUACAUCCUCCUUACCGUGACCACGAAUCCUCUCGAUCUGUCUAGUGACCUCUACAACCCGCUGGAAAUAAAUAUCAUCCCUAGUCUCCUUGGCCAUAUGUAGCCUGAUACUAAAAUUAAGUCCAUCUAUGAAUCUCCUCACCCUAUCCCUCUCAGUAGUGAUUAAGAUAUGUGCACGAUGAGAUAGGUCUACAAAUCUGGUCUCGUACUGGAUAACAAUCAUGCUACCCUGUUGUAGACACUCAAACUGGUUAAGGUACUCCUCUCUCAGAGUAAAUUGAAUAAACUUCUCCAAAAUAACUGUGAGAACUGAUCCCAUGUGAGUGGAGGUAAACUUGUUGGUCUGCCUCAAACAUAGUCCUGCUACCAUCUAUUGGCAAAGACGGUCAUCUGAAACACUACGAAGCCGACUCCUAUGUUGCGUAAUAUCUCGUGGCAACGGUCAGAAUACUCUUAUGGGUCCUCAGAAUCUAUACCACCAAAUGAAUAGAAAAUAUCUUGGUGAAGUUAUCCAACCUCUUUAGCCCUGCAGAAGACAUUAUGGGCCUCUCUAUGGACUGUGUAGCAAUAACGGACUAAUCCACUCUAACUUCUAGGACCGCUGGAGUCUAAUACAUUGGAGCCAUCUGCUCCGGAGUCUGUGUAGCGGGCGUCUGGGCUCCUCCCCUAGCGUGAGAGAUAGUUGGUGCCAUAGGAAAUAAUUUAGCUUGGGCCACACUCUCCGUUAGGCCAACCAGGCGAACUAAAGUGUCCUGAAGUACGGGAGUGGCUAUGAACCCCUCUGGGACCUGAGGUGGUCCAAUUGUGCAAUCUGAAUGGGGAUUUUAUCCUCCAGCUCAAUCUAAGGCUCUGCAAUAGGUGAUGUUGCGUGUGCUCUAGGCUGAGCUCCACCUCUACCUUGGCCCCUACCCCUGGUAGUGGCUGCAACUCGGGGCUCCGGCUCCUGCCCAACGGUUAAUGUUGUGCAUAUGCUCACCAGCUGCGAUAGAACAAGAAUAAAAUGGUUUAAACAUCAGUGAUACAAUAAAGUUUCACAAUAGAGAAAGAAAGAAGUGAAAUUUUCCUAAAGCUCUAUAGACUCUAGAAGAUAAGUAUAGAUGUCUUUGUACCGAUCCUCUAGACUCUACUUAUCUCACUCAUGACUCGUGAGACCUUGGCAACCUAGGGAUCUGAUACCAACUUGUCACGACCCAAAAUCCCAACUGUGGGGUGUGAUGGUUCCUAAUAUCCAUUUGAUAGGAAAGCCAACGUUAGCAAAUUAAUUAACCAGUUUUAACAGUUUAAAAGUAGAACCUUAAUAAUAUGAAACUGAAAUAAACUAAAUUAGAUGUGAUAAAUACAAACGUAGUACAGUCCAAACAUAUCCCAGUAAUCCAAAGUCACGAGUACAUGAACAACUAAAAUACUACAAAUAAAGCCUGAAUGAAAUACAUUUGUUUGAAACAAAAUAAACAAUGAAAAUCAGGUAGAAGGGGACUUCAUGGAUUGCGAACGUCGAGCACUACCUCAAGUCUCCUGUAGUAGUCGAAUCUGAGCAGUCUCCGCUAUGCGCCGCUAGGACCAACAUCGGGAUCUACAGAAGAAGUGUGGACGUGUAGCAAGAGUACAACCGACCCCAUAUACUAUGUAAGUGCCGAUCCUAACCUCGACAAAGUAGUGACAAGGAUAUAACAAGACACUCACAAUAAACCUGUAGGAAUAAUACUAACAUAAUGCAAAAAUAUAGAUACAACGGAAAAUUCAUAUAAACGGACUCGAAGGUCAACUACCAGAGGGCCCCAGAAUAACAUGAUCUCAAGUCUCAUAUAACAAUACCGAGAAUAAACUCUAACCUCACAAACAACUACAACACACCAACUUUGUUUCGAUGCGCAACCCGAUCCCAACACUUAACACAAUAAUUGUUGUGGUAUGUAAAUUGAUCCUAACAUUUAAAACAAUAAUUGUUGCAGCGUGCAACCUAAUCCCAAUAUCAUAUCAUAUCAUCAUCUAUUGUAGUGUGUAACCCGAUCCAGUACGCAACCCGUUCCCUUUAUCAAUCAUUAACAUAUCAACUUAACACCACUAGUUACGAAAUCUCAACACAAAGAGAAAUGAAACAAGCGGAACAUUAAGGAACUACCAGUACAAACUGGGAAUAGCCAAUACCUCAUAAUCCCAAACCUUGUCAAGAUAUUAAUACCGGAAUAGCUAAAUGGCUCACAUAAACGAAAUAACUUAACAAGGUGCAUCAAGGAAUAUAAGGACAUAAAAGCAAGUAAAACAUGAGACAACGAAAAUAUACAAUUAAUGCAAGUAGGAACAUGUAGCAGGUAAGCAGAUAUUCAGUGCAAAAUGAAAAACUUGAAACAAGUAACAUUUAAAUAACAAAUAACAAGCAAGUCAUGGAUAACAAGUUUUAGAAACUACCCACGAAUGAAAAAAAUUAUAUCUUUAAUGAAUCUGCAAAAAGUCAACAAAAGUCAACCCCGGGCGCGCUUGGUCAAAACCCAAAAUUCGGACCACAACUCAAUUACCCAUUCAUCCUCGAGUCCAGUUAUAUGAUUCGUUUCGCCCAAAACUCCUAAUUUCUACCAUGAAGUUCAUAGACUAAAAUGUUAAUCAAUGGGUGAUUAUGAAAAUACAUCAAAACUAGUUAAAAAUCACUAACCAAUGAAGUUGGGAUGCAAAUAUCCUCAAAACCCCCUCUAGGCCGAGAUCUAUAUUUCAAAAAUGGUGAAAAGUGACAAAAUCCCGACUUUCAUCUUUUAAAUAGUUGAACGCCAGGUGUUCUUCGUGUUCGCGAAGCAUCUUACGCGUUCGCGAAGAGAAUUUUCCAAUUGGCCUUUGCGUUUACGAAGUCCUACCCGCGUUCGCGAAGGAAUCCCCAGCCAAGCCUCGCGACCCGUUGGUCGCGUUCGCGAAGAAGGAUUAUCCUACCUUCCCCCAGAUCUCCCAAAGCAUCGCAUUCGUAAUGGGUGAGUCGCGUUCACAAAGGGUAAGCCCCCCAAUGCUUCGCGUUCGCGACCUACCACUCACGUUCGCGAAGAGCAACCUAUCCAAGACCAACAUUUUUCAUUUGCAAUCGCGGGAGAAGCUUUGCAAUCGCAAAGCUCUGGACACUAGAAGCAAAAACCAAUAGUCCUUUAAGUCCAAAUAUGGUCCGAAGACAAUCUAAAUCUCACACGAGCCCCUCGGGCUCCAUAUCGAACAUGCACACAAGUGUAAUAACAUUAUACAAACUUGCUCACUACCUUAAAUCAUCAAAAUAAUAUCAAAUAACAAGAAUCGAUCUAUAAAACUCUAGAAUUUUCACCUAUACUCAAGUUUUCACAAUUUCAUGUUUAAUGCCCCGAAACACGAUUGGGUCACCCCGGACCCCAACCAAACGUGCGUACAAGUCCAAAAAUAUUAUAUGAACCUACCUGAAUCGUCAAAAUACCACCACUCAAUGCCUAACUUAGUGGUAUAUUUGCUUUUUAUAAAAUCGUUAAAAUACCGAUACGAGGUUGUUUACAAAUGAAGCUAAUAAAGAUCUCGAAACAUGGAAAAAAUGCUAAAACUCAAAAUGACCUAUUGGGUCGUCAUAUAAUGGGUACAUGUUGUAUGGGUAUUAGGGAAAUUUUCAUAUAUACCCACUUUUGGGGCCACUAUUGAAGUUAUACCAGCAUUGCAUAAAAGUUUAAAAUGUAUACCCGCUCGGAUCUGAAGUAGUUCAAUUUCUUCAAUGCAACUUCAGAAAACAAAUAUGAAGUUCUUUUAUCUUUAUAACGCAACUUUAGAAAUUAGAAUCUAAAGUAGUUCAAUAUCUUCAAUGCAACUUCAGAAAAAUAUAUGAACUUCUUCUAUCUUUCAAAUGCAACUUCAGAAAUUUAAAUCUUAAGUGGUUCAAUCUAUUGAAUGCAACUUUAGAUUUCCAAUUUUAUGUUCUGAAACAUAAAGUUGUUCUUUGAAUUUCAACAACCCAAUACACGAUUCAAUGCCCAAUUCUAUUCCAAAUGAGCUCAAAUUUAAAAUAUAACUUUCAAAUAUCAUGAAGAACUGUAAUGGCUCGGCCGAUCAUUUUGUGUAUUUGAGCCCCGUUCCCUUAUUUGAUAUGUUUCGUAUAUGUGUUUAUUAUUUUGUGACUUAAGUUGUAAGCGUUCACUGAGGUUUGACUUUUAUGUAAACGACCUCAAAAUUAUCUUUUGAUGGUUCCAAUAGGUUUUUGUGGUUAUUUUAAACUUAGGCGUAUGUCUGGAUUUGGAUUUGGAGAAUCCUAAGUUGAUUUGGCUCUAUUUCGCGAAAGUUAAAAAUUUGAAGGUUUGCAAGAUUUAUAGGUUUGCCCAGGAGGUUAGUUUGGUUUUAUCGGGUUCGAUUUGUUGUUACGGGAGUUGAAAUAGGUUUGUUAUGUCAUUCGAAACUUAUGUGCAGAAAUUUAGAUCAUUCCGAAUUGGUUAAGCGUGUUUCGGCAUGAGUUUGGAAGCUGAAAGUUUGAUUAGUUCAUUAAGCUUGAAUUGAAGUGCGAUAUAUUGUCACGACCCCAAAAUUCCACCUUAGGAAUCGUGAUGGCAUCUAGCCUCUAAGAAUAGGUAAGCCUAGCACAUGCUGAGAAAUAACAUAAAUAACCAACUAAGUUAUUAACUUAAACUGAUAAAUGACAUAAUAAAAGCCAAAAUGGAACAACGGUCAUACAACCCCAAAAUUAAUAGUACAGAGUCAUAAGCUCUACCGCGAGUAACUAGGAAUAUUAAUUACAUCACAGUUUUGUGGAAGUAACAAUAGUAAAGUAAAACGUCAGAAGGUGACUCCGAGGCCAGUGAACAUAACGGCAGAUAUACAUUGAAAUCUCCAUAGCAAAUCUAAACAACAACCAGCUAACGACCGGCGCGUUUAGAGGUACUUGGAUCUGUACUAAUAUAUGCAGAAGCGUAGUAUGAGUACACCAUAAUGGCACCCAGUAAGUAUCAAGACUAAUCUCGGUAGAGUAGUGACGAGGUACUAGUGAAGACACUCACUAGACAUAGUAAGCCUGAGCAAAGUAUUAAUAUAAAGCUGACAGUGGAAAAAAUAUCAAUAUAAAGCUAAACAUGAAAAAACAUUUAGUAUAAAGCUAACAAUGGUAAGUAAAGGUAAAAAAUGGCAACAAGAGUAAACGUGAAAUAAACAACUUAAAUACUCAAAACACAAUUAAAAUACAAGUGAAAUACACUAAGGAAAACAACAACAGUUCAAAUCAUCAAGUCAUUCCAAUACAGAAUUUACUACAAGAACAAUUCUGAGGCACAACACCUCAUAACCACCAAUCACAAGUUUCAAAUCACAACUCUCACACACAUGGCACCUCGUGCCUACAUUAUCAAUCACCUUCGCAUGGCAAGACCUCGUGCCACAACAUCAAUCACACUCGCACUGCCAAGACCACGCAUUGUUAUGUAUAUCUUAUCCAUGCCAAUUACAAAUAAAAUGUUCAAAGUUUAUUUAAAUAUAGUAAAGCAUGAUAUCAAUUUAAUGUAAGGUAAAUUGUCAAUGAGAUUAUUAUAAGAAUCAAAUAAAGUAGAACGUGAUAACAAUUUAAAUAAAGUGAAUCAUCAAAUGAGAAAAUGAAUUUAUUCUAAGAAUCGAGUAAGGUAAAGUAUGAUAACAAUUUAAAUAUAGUAAAGCACCAAAUGAGUUAAUGAGUUUAUUUUAGGAAUAAAAUAAAGUAAAGUAUGAUAACAAUUUAAAUAGUAAAGUAUCAAAUGAGAUAAUGAGUUUAUUUUAAGAAUCGAGUGAGGUAAGGCAUGAUAACAAUUUCGUUAUUUAAAUCCAUUGUGUACCAACAACUCAACAGAAUAUGAGAUACUUACUCCAUGCAAGUAAAUCCAUCUUGAUAACCAACUCACCAAGUAACAUCGGAGGACCAAAUUAGCACAUUAAAGCAACGCAACAAAUCACUUAAAAUGUAUGACACACACAAGAAGUCACAGUCGUUCCAAGACAAAAAUUACAACAAGAGUCAACCCGAGGUAUCACACCUCAUAAUCACAAUACACAAGUUAUAAAUCACAAAUCACAAAUCUUCCUUAUAACGCCGCGUGAGCCUUACAUUUAUUCUAAACAAAUAUUUUUCCCGAAAUAGCUUCACGCACUUUAGCCCCCUUAGCUCGCCGCGUGUGCUUCAAAUGAAGUAAAUCCCCUUACUAGCAACAUGCGCAUAACUCCGCUUAUCUCGCCGCAUGCGCAUCAAUAUCACCACCCUUAUAUCGCUGCAUUCGCAUCACCUCAAUACAAUAAUGAACUAGCACCACACGCGCUAAUAUGCCACAAGAUUAUCAAAACAACAAUACCAAUAUCACAACUAUACAUAGCCCAUGCCUCAACAACAAUGUGUACAAGAAUUUCAACAAUACCUCAAUGAAACGGAAGAAUGAACACUACAAUGAAAGAUAAUCCAUGUAAUAAAAACUUCAAUUAAAUGCAUAAAAAUAAAGUCAACAAUGAAGGAUAUAACAUGUAAUAACAACUUCAAAUAAAUUCAUAAGAAGAAACUCAACAAAGAAAGAUAAUCCAUAUAUUAACAACUUCAAUUAAAUGAAUAUAAGAAUAAACUUAACAAUGAAAGAUAUUACAUGUAACAACUUCACUUAUAUGCAUAUAAGUUACCUUAGAAUCCAUACCGGUUAAAUACCACAUAUAAACCCGUGUACUCGUCAUCUCUCGUGCACGGCUUUCACAUAAUUCAAAUAGUGAAAUUAGCCCAAAUCCUACGGGGUAGUUCCCCCACCUAAGGUUAGGUAAGAUACUUACCUCAAUUACACCAAUUCAUCACUCCAACUAACUUUUCCUUAAAAAUUUGACUCCGCACGGCUCAAAUCUAACCAAAAAUGGCUUAAUAUCAUCAAGAAAUGCAAGGGAGACUAGUUCCGAUAAUUAAAGUUAAACUCUUUACAUAAUUCCCCAAAAGUCAACCAUGGGCUCGCCAGGUCAAAACCUGAGUCCAAGAGUAGAUCUCGACUACCCAUAACUCCACGAGUCUAUAUAUAUUUUUUGUUUUCAAAUUCGAGUCCAAUUCGACUCACAAAUCUCAAAAUUUCAUUUUUCCAAACAUAGACAAAAUCCCCCAAAUAUUCUCUUCAAAUUCCAUAGUUUAGAUGUUAAAUCUCCUAAAUAAUCAUGUAAUAUAAUUAAAAUAGGAUCAAAACCACUUACCCAGUAGUUGUAUGUGAAAAUCCCUCCUCACAAUCGCCUUCUACCAUGUCUAGGAAUUUAAAAUGUGAUAAAUAAAGCUAAGUCCCGAAAUUCCAACCUUUUGUUCAGUUCCAAAAGUCGCAAAUGUGACAAGGGGUUUGCAAAUGCGACUCCUUGUAAUUGCAAUAGGGAUCACAAAAGUGAACCCAGUCAGCCCUCAUAGAUAUUGCAUUUACGACACAGGGCUUCGCUGUCACGACCCUAAAGUCAAACCUGUCGUGAUGGUGCCUAUCGAUGGAAAUGCGGAAUGAAAAGCCCCAAACAUCGGGGUGUCACUGAGUCACGAGAAACUACUAAAAACUGGUCCGACAAUAACAAGACUAACAUAGUCGGGGGAAACUCCAAAAUAAAGCUAAGGGGAAGAUAAAGAAGGAGAAAACAGGGUUGCGAUCGUUGGGCAACUACCUUGCUAACUCCAAUGAUCAGCUACAGGAAUAUCAGCAGCCGCUACAGUGACCAAAAAUGUAUGGAUCUGCACACAAGGUGUAGGGAGUAACGUGAGUACACCAACUCAGUAAGCAACAGAAGUAAAUAAAGGCUGAGAAGUAGUGACGAGCUAAAUGCAAGCACCAUUAAUAUCACAAAAAUUUAGUAAACUGCGGCAUGCUUUGCAACGAGAGUUUAAGUCAAAUCAGCUUGUUUAAAUCAAGUUCAAGUAAGUCAAUUAGAAAUAUCUUUCAACAAUUCUCAAACAAGGACUCAAAGCAACUAUGAACAUAGAUGAUGAAAUCAUAUACUGCCCCUCGAGAUAACAUCACUCAGUCCUCCCAAUCACUCCAACCUCACAAUCACCCAUGCCUCACAAUCACUCAUGCCUCACAAUCGCUUAGCACUCGACACUUGGCACUCACACUCAAUAGGUACCUGCGCUCACUGGGGGUGUUUAGACUCCGAAGGGGCUCCUACAGCCCAAGCGCUAUAAUAUGUACGGACAACUCACGUGCUACACGGACAACACACGAGCAAUAAUAUCAUAUCAGAAUCCGUACGGAUAACUCACGUGCUGAGGUACAAUACCUCAUAAACAGGCCCUUGGCCUCACUUAGUCAUAAACCUCUCCAGUCUCUCGGGCUCUCAGAAAUAAAAGAAAUCAGCCCAAACAACAUAAACAUGAUGCAUCAAAUAGAUUAACAGUGACUGAGCUACGAUGUAAGAAUACAUGAACAUGACUGAGUAUGGGAUAUCAACUAAAGCAGUGAGAGGACAGCAAGAAACAACCUCUAAGGGUCCAAACAAUACAGGCACAGAGUCUAGACAUGGUAUCUAUCAUGAUUUAUAGUAAAUCUUUCUAAAGCACAUAAAGAGCAUAUAGUUACAACUGGGUGUUCAACUUUACAGUUGCUACGGGAUGGACCAAGUCACAAUCCCUAAUGGUGCACGCCCACACGCCCAUCACCUAGCAUGUGAGUCACCUCCAAAUAGUCACAUGACAUAAAAUCCGGGGUUUCAUACCCUCAGGACUAGAUUUACAAUCGUUAAUUACCUCAAUCCGAGCAAAACUCUAUUCCGCAAUCCCUUGCCUAUCGAAUCGGCCUCCGAGCAUCCCGAAUCUAGCCACAAGCAGUACAAUAUAAUUAAUAUAUGCCCAAGGAAUCAAUCCCACAAGAAAAAUACUAAAUUAGACUCAAAACCCGAAAUCGACUCAAAUCCGACCCCCGAGCCCACGUCUUGAAAUCCGACAAAAGUCACAAAACCCGAAAGCCCAUUCACGCACGAGUCUAACCAUACAAAAUUCAUCAAAUUCCAACGUCAUUUGAUCCCUCAAAUCCUCAAUUUACGCUCUCUAAAAUCCUAACCCUAACCCCCGAAUUUUUCACUUCAAAACUACACUAAUUACAUGAGAAAAUAACGGGAAAACACCAUAGCUAGGAGUAUUAGAGCUCAAGCAACUUACCUCUGUGAAAACCCUUGAAUCCCCUUCAAAAAUCACCCCAAAAGCUCUAAAGUCCGACUUGAAAAUGGUGGAAAUGAGCAAAAAUCAUGAAAUCCCCAAUGUAUACAUUCUUCCCAGCGAAGCCGCACCUAUGGUCCCUUCAUCGCAUUUGCGAUACCGCACUUGCGUACCAAGCUCCGCUUUUGGGAAAAUCAUUUAAAACCCCUAGGACCGCUUCUGCGCCUCUAGACCACAUGUGCGGUCAUUGCAUGUGUGGAAAUGCCAUUGCACCUGCGGCCCAACAACGCACAUGCGCCCCAUAAUACGCUUAUGCGAUCAUCGCAAGUGCGGGAACUUCAUCGCACCUGCGCCUUCUGCCUAGCUCCUCCAAUCUCGCAUAUGUGAUCUCCCGCUCACUUCUGCGAGCUCGCACCUACGAUGAGACAUCCGCAAGUGCGAUUAUGACAGCUGAGUUCAACUUCAGCAAUUCCUCCAAUUUCCAAACUUGUUCCGUUAAUCACCCGAAAUCAACCCUAAGCCCUCGGGACCUCAACCAAACAUACCAAUAUAUCCCACAACAUCAUACGAACUUAGACAAAUCAUCAAAUUACUUAAACAACAUCAAAACACAAAAUUACAUUCAGAUUCAAGUCUAAGAACUUCUAAACUUCCAAAUUCCACAAACGAUGCCGAAACCUACCAAACCACGUCCGAAGGACAUCAUAUUUUGCACACAAGUUACAAAUGACACCACAAACCAACUCUGAUUUCCGGAAAUCCAUUCCGACUCCAAUAUCAAAAUUUCCACUGCCGACCAGAAUAGCCAAAUUUCCAACUUUCGCCAAUUCAAGCCUAAUUCCACUACGGACCUCCAAAUCACAUUCCUGACACACACCUAAGUCCAAAGUCACCUAACAGAGCUAGAGGAACUAUUAAAAUUCAAACCCGAGAUCGUUUAAACAUAAAUCAACAUCCGGUUGACUUUUCCAUCUUAAGCUUCUACUUUAGAGACUAAGUGUCUCAAUUCACUCCGAACCCACUCCGGACCCGAAUGACACCAGAAUAACAGAGACUGAGCUACGAUAUAAGAAUGCAUGAACAUUACUGAGUAUGGGAUAUCAACUAAAGCAGUGGGAGGACAGCAAGAAACGACCUCUAAGGGUCCGAACAAUAAUGGCAUAAAGCCUAGACAUGGUAUCUAUCAUGAUUUAUAGUAAAUCUUUCUAAAGCACAUAAAGAGCAUAUAGCUACAAUAGGCUGUUCAACUUUACAGUUGCUACAGGACGGAUCAAGUCACAAUCCCCAAUGGUGCACGCCCACACGCCUGUCACCUAGCAUAUGCAUCACCUCCAAAUAGUCACAUGACACAAAAUUUCGGGGUUUCAUACCCUCAGGACUAGAUUUACAACUGUUACUUACCUCAAUCAGAGAAAAUCUCUACUCCGCAAUUCCCUUGCCUCUCGAAUCAGCCUCCGAGCUUCCCGAAUCUAGUCACAAGAAGUACAAUACCAUUAAUAUAUGCUAAAGGAAUCAAUCCCACAAGAAAACUACUAAAUUAGAUUCCAAACUCGAAAUCGACUCAAAUUCGACCCCCGGGCUCACGUCUUGAAAUCUGACAAAAGUCACAAAUCUGGAAAGCCCAUUCACUCACGAGUCUAACCAUACAAAAUUCAUUAAAAUCCGACGUCAUUUGGUCCCUCAAAUCCUCAAUUUGCACUCUCCAAAAUCCCAAGCCCUAACCCCCAAUUUUUCAAUUCAAAACUCCACUAAUUAGAUGAGAAAACAAUGGGAAAACACUAUAUCUCGGAGUAUUAGAGCUCAAUCAACUUACCUCUAUGAAAACCCUUGAAUCCCCUUCAAAAGUCACCCAAAAGCUCCAAAGUCCGACUUGAAAAUGGUGGAAAUGAGCAAAAAUCACGAAGUCCCCAAUUUAUACAUUUCCCUUCACCGUAUCUGCGGAUCAAGCUCUGGUUUUUUGGAAAUCACUUAAAACCCCUAGGACCGCUUCGACGCCUCUAGACCGCAUCUGCGGUCAUCGCAGGUGCGGAAAUGCCAUCGCACCUGCGGUCCAACAACGCACAUGCGCCCCAUAAUCUGCUUAUGCGACCAUCGCAGGUGCGGGAACUUCAUCGCACCUGCGCCUUCUGCCCAACUCCUCAUAUCUCGCAUCAGUGAUAUUCUACUCGCUUCUGCGGUCUCGCACCUGUGAUGAGACAUCUGCAGGUGCGAUUAUGACAGCUGAGUUCAACUUCAGCAAUUCCUCCAAUUUCCAAACUUGUUCCGUUAAUCACCCGAAAUCAACCCGAGGCCCUCAGGACCUCAACCAAAUAUACCAACAUAUCCCACAACAUCAUACGAACUUAGACAAAUCAUCAAAUCAAUCAAACAACAUCAAAACACCAAAUUACACUCGGAUUCAAGCCUAAAAACUUCUAAACUUCCAAAUUUCACAAACGAUGCCGAAACCUACCAAACCACGUACGAAUGACCUCAAAUUUUGCACACAUCAAAAAUGACACCACCAACCUACUCCGUUUUCCUGAAAUCCAUUCCGAACCCGAUAUCAAAUUUUCUACUGCCGACCAAAAUAGCCAAAUUUCCAACUUUCGCCAGUUCAGGCCUAAUUCCACUACGGACCUCCAAAUCACAUUUCAGACGCACACCUAAGUCCAAAGUAACCUAACGGAGCUAUAGGAACUAUCAAAAUUCAAAUCCGAGAUCGUUUACACAUAAGUCAACAUCCGGUUGACUUUUUCAACUUAAGCUUCUACUUUAGAGACUAAGUGUCUCAAUUCACUCUGAACCCACUUCGGUCCCGAACCAACUAACCCGGUAUAAUGAAAUAUAGCUGAAGGACACAAAAAGAAACAGAAAUGGGGGAAACAGGGCUAUAACUCUCGAAACGAUUAGCCAGGUCGUUACAUUCGCAAUUGUGAUGGCAACUUCUUUGCUAAUUCGACCAGACAGACCAAUGUUGACGUCGCAAAUCCGAUAAGGCGAUUGAAUUUACGACAUUUGAACCUCCCCCGCCCUCUUCGAAAUUGUAAUUGUGGUGCUCAUAAUUGUGACAACUGCAGCACCAGCACACCAGUAACCUGGAACAAGUUCAAUCCAAUUCAAAACACGUUUGAUACUCACCUGAGCCCUCUAGGAUCCACAUCAAACAUCCACAAAAGUCCCAAAACAUCGUACGAACUGAUCGCAUGAUCAAAACACUAAAAUAACAUCCAGAACAUCAAAUUGGACAUCAAAACAUAUGAAAUUUCACAAUGAAUUGAAGAAUCGCUAGAAACACAACCAAGCGUCUGAUUCCUUUCAAACCACCUCGGAGUGACACAAAAUUUUGCAGACAAGUUCUAAAUAAUAAAACAGAAAACGUACCUAUUGCAAGUCUCGAAACGAAAAUCCAAACCCGAUAGCUAUAAGGUCAAACCAUGGUGAAACUUAUGAUAAUUCUACACCUUCAAAUUGCCAACUUUUGCAAAAAAUUGCCAAAUCAGCCUAGGAACCUCCGAAUCUCAUUCCGAGAAUACGUCUAAGUCCAAAAUCACUAUUUGGACCUAACGAAACCAUCAAAACUCUUAUCCUAGCUCAAAUAAGCAAUAAAUCAAACUUGGUCAACUCUUCCAACUUAAAACUUCUAAAAUAAGAAUCAUUCUUCCAAAUAAAUUAUGAACCACUCGAAAACCAAAAUUGACCAUAAACUCAAGUCAUAAUAUAUCAUAUGAAGCUACUCAAAGUCACAAAUCACUUAUUGGAAUGCUAAAGCUCAAAACAACUGGUCAAGUCAUUAUAUUUAUAGUUUUGAUAUUAUUUGGUAUGAUUUGAGAUCUCGAGUUGGUCUAUAUUUUGGGACUGGUUCGUAUGAUUGGACAGAGUUCUCGAGGUGGAUCGAGUGCAUUUUGGAUGGGUUUCGGAUCAAUUGAGAUUGAAUUGGCAGUUUUGGUCUGGUGUGUAUUCACCUGCGCGGUUUAUUCCACAGGUGUGAGUGCGCAUAUGUGGACAGGUGAUCACAAAAAUUGAUUUGGGCCUGGGGUAGUAAGGUCCGCAGAUGCAAAGGUUUGUGAACAUAUGUGAGUCCACAUAAGUGGAGUUUUGAUCGCAGAAGCGAAGUCUUGGUUAGGCAGGGGAGUCCGUAGAAGCGGUCGUUUGAGUUUAGAAAUGCUAGUACAAGUGUGAACAAAAUUCUGCAGGAGUAGGUUCUCAUAAGAAGAGGUUUGUCCGUAGAUAGGAAAGGGAGGAACAUAAGUGGAUUUCUGCAUCUGUGAGGUAUUUUUAGCAAAUGUAGUGUCGCAUAAGCGAUAUUUGGAUCGCAGAAGCGAUAGUCGUUGGGCAGAUGUCACGACCCAAAAUGCGAGCAUAGAGGGAUUGUGAUGGUACCUAAUCUCUAAGACUAGAUAGUCCUAUCACUCAACAAUAUUAGAUCAACAAAUCAUGAUAUAAUAAAACAGGAAUUAAUAUAAAAGCAAAAUAUGGAGUUAUUACAAUUCAAAGGCAAUGCUCAAACAUCUCCCCAAAACUAGGUAGUACAGAGUCAUGAGCUCUAACUGAACAUAUACGAAAUAUCCUAAUAGAUACAAUAAUGGUCGAAAUCAAAAUUAGCAGUAUCUAUAUAAUGGAUGAGAUUUCAAGGGACUGUGAUAGCAUGCAGCUCUACCUUAAAUCUUCGGGAACAAGCAAUCACUCACUAUCGGGGUCCGCUGCUACCAACACUGGAUCUGCAAAAUAAUAUGAAGAAGUCUAGUAUGAGUACACCAUAUUUGGUACCCAGUAAGUAUCAAAACUAAUCUCAAUAAAGUAGUGACGAGGUUCAAGUAAUGAGAUACUCACUAUUCAAUAACCUGUAUAAUAUAUCAAUAAUUGUCAAUAGAAUAUGAAAGGGAAAACAAUAUCAACCAUCUAGUAGAGCAUUUGAUAACAACUCAAUGUAGAAAAAUCCGAUUUUUGUCAACAAAUCAUCUAAUAGAAGUGAGACAUGUGAUAGUAUGUCAAAUUCAACUAAUAACUCAUUAAAAUACAAGAUGGAAACUUGUAAGAAACAAGUAUGAAAUCAAAAUAUCAACCUCGUUUCAACACAUGAAAAACAACAAGAAAGACAUCCCCGAAUCAUUACAUAACAUCAUCAACAAUGCCACCCUUAUUUCGCAACCUCUCUUAUUUUGCCACAUGCGCAUAUCUCCACCCUUAUUUCGCCUCGUGAGCAACCCAAGUAAAUGCCACCUUUUAUUUCGCCCCCUCCCCCCCCCCCACAAAAAUAGACAAGAUCGCACGUAAAGACCUCAUGUUGACGCCCCCAAUCAAUCCGCUCAACAUGUCCACGUGUUUCACAAUUAUCACAAGAACAAUAAUACCAAAACCUCAUCGAAGGCAUAAGCUCAUAGCUUAUCAACACAUGCACAAGGAAAUGAAAAUAGUAAAAUUGUCUAUGGGUGUCUAGCAUAUAAAUCAUUGCUACAAAUACUACAAUUGGAAUCAUCAUAUUCAUGUAGCCACAAAUUGAUUAAGCAUGUUUCAUAUAAAGUACAUCCUCAAAUUAAGGCAUAUCAAUAGCCUAAGGUCUAAACCGGUCACAAGCCACACAUAGCACCCGUGUACACGCUCAUCAGCUCUUGUACACGCGCUUUUCACAUAAUACAAAUAGCCAAUUAAGGCCAAAUCCUAAGGUGUAUUCCCAAAAAAUGUUUCAACAAUAUCAAACAGUGCUAAAGGAAUAAAUUCCAAACAAUAAAGGCCCAAUCUUUAUCGAAUACCUAAAAAGUCAACCCCGAGCUCGUCCAUUCAAAACCCGAGUCGAGGGGUAGAUCUCGACUAUCCAAAACCCAUGAUUCCAAAUAUGUGAUUGGUUUUCAAAAUCCAGUCCAAAUCGACUCUCAAAUCUCCUAUUUUCAUUUUGCCAUACAUAGUAAAAACUUCCCAAACAUUCCUUUUAAAUUCUAUGAUUUUGGUGUAAAUAUCCAUAAGAAAUCAAGUUGUAUUAUCAAAAUUAAGUGAAAUCACUUACCCAAUAGCUAUGUGUGAAAUUUCCCUUCAAAAACUGCCUUCUACUAAGUCUAGGGCACAGAAUAUUAUAAAAUGAGAUAAGUCCAGAAAUAAGCAGCUAUAAACAAGUUGUAGAUGCCGCAUUUGUGACCAGAGUUCGUAAAUGAGACCAACGGAUCUCAAAAGAAAAGACUACCAAGCCCAGCGUAUGUCGCAAUUGCGACCAAGAACUUCGCAAUUGCGAUGACCCACUGAUCCCAUCAAUAUCGCAAAUGCAAUGACCACUUCGUAAAAGCGAAGUCCCAGCUUCCUCCCACUGUCGCAAACACGACCAGUUUCCUCGCAAUUGCGAGGUCCCCAUAGGAAACAUCCCCAUCGCAAAUGCGAUAAAACAAACGUAAUUGCAGCCAUCGCAAAUGUGAGUAGGCCAUCGCAAAUGCGAGCAGGCCUUCGCAAAUGCAAGGUCUGCAGCACUAAAGAACCUGAAGCAAAGAUCAAAACACUCCAAAAUCAUUCUGAAACUCACCCAAGCCCCUCGAGCCCACACCAACUGUCCACACAACUACAUAAAUAUCAUACGAACUCGCUCGUAUGUUCGAAACAUCAAAAUAACAUAUAAAACCACAAAUCGAACACCAAAAUGCUUCACGCAAGCUAUGAAAUUCAAGAACUUCAAUAUUAACAACCAAGAGUCCAAUUCCUACCAAACCAACUCGAAAUGAUACCAAACCUUUCAAACAAGUUUUAAAUGAAUAAAUAGACCUAUUCCAAGUCCCGAAACCAAAAUCAGAAUAGUCACAAAUGCAAUCCAUGGUCCAAAUUAUGAAAUUUCUAAACCUUCAAAUUGCCAACUUUCGGCAAAAAGAGCCAAAUCAUCCUAGGAACCCCUGAAUUCAAUUCUGGGCACAUGUCUGAGUCUAAAAUCACCAUACGAACUUAUUUAAACCAUCAAAAUAGCAUUCUGGGGCCGUUUUCAAAAAAGUCAAACCUUGGCUAGCUCUUCCAACUUAAGUUUCUAAAAAUGGAACUAGGUGUUCCAACCCAAUCCAAAACUUUCCUGAUGUAAAACCAACCAUCCAUGCAAGUCAAAUAAUAACAAAUACACAUAUAGGAAGCUUCAAAAGGGGAAACGGGAAUCAAAUACACAAACAACUAGCCGGGUCGUUACAUUCUCCUCAUUUUAAACAAAUGGUCAUCCUCAAAUGAGUAUAGAGGCAUACCUGAAGUGCCAAAUAUAUUAGGAUAUCGGCUCCACAUAUCAUGCUCGGUCUCCCAAGUCGCCUUCUCAAAUGGUAGAUCUCUCCAUUGGACCCUCACCGAUGCAAUGUUGUUCGACCUCAGCUUUCGGACCUGCCUGUCCAAAAUGGCGACCGACUUCUCAACAUAAGUCAAAUCCUUGUCCAACUACACAAAGAUGAAAUCUAACACAUGUGACAGAUCAUCAUAGUACUUCCAAAGCAUGGAAACAUGGAAGACCUCAAGCUGGGUCCAAACAAUAUACCGAAGCUGGGUGGCAAAGCAAGUCUGUGGGCCACUUCGCCAACUCUCUCUAAAACCUUAAAAGGACUAAUAUACCGAAGGCUCAACUUUCCCUCCUUCCAAAACCUCAUCAAACCCUUCAUGGGCGAAACUCUGAGUAGAACCCUCUCACCCACUAUAAAUGCCCCAUCACAAGCCUUCCUAUCAGCAUAACUCUUUUUCCUAGAUUGCAUUGUACAAAGCCGCUCCUGAAUCAAUUUCACCUUCUCCAAAGCAUUAUAAACCAAGUCAUUGUCUAAUAACCUAUCCUCCCAAGGCUCAAACCAACCAACCGGAUAACGACAUCGCCUUCCAUAUAAGGCCUCAUAUGGAGCCAUUUGGAUGCUCGACUUGUAGUUAUUGUUGUAGGUGAACUCUGUUAAUAGCAAAAGCUGAUCCUUAUGGCCCCCGAAAUCAAUGACACAAGCUCGCAACAUGUCCUCCAUGAUUUGAAUAGUACGCUCGGACUGUCCAUCCGUUUGUGGAUGAAAUGACAUACUCAGCUCAACCUAUGUGCCCAACUCAUACUGUAUGGCUUUCCAAAAAUAUGAUGUAAACUGAGUGCCUCGAUCCGAGAUAAUAGGCAAGGGCACACUAUGUAGGCAAACAAUCUCUCUAAGGUAAAUCUGAGCCAACUGCUCUAAAGUGUAGGUAGUCCUGACUGGAAUGAAGUGUUCAAACUUGGUCAGUCCGUCCAAAAUAACCUACAUAACAUCAAAUCUCCUUAAGGUCCAUGGAAGCCCAACCACAAAAUCUAGAGUGAUACGCUCUCACUUCCAUUCCGGAAUAUCUAGCCUCUGAAGCAAACCACCAGGUUUGAUGCUCACAGUUAACCUGUUGACCAUGCAACAUAAUCAACAAUGUCUUUCUUCAUUCUUCUCCACAGUAAUGCAGCUUCAAAUCAUGGUACAUCUUCGCGACACCGGAUGAAUGGAAUACCAUGAACUAUGGGCCUCCUCAAGAAUCAGCUCGUGUAACCCAUUCACAUUCGGCACACAAAUCCGGCCCUGAAGAAUCAACACCCUAUCAUCACCAAUAGUCACCUCCUCAGUAUCAUCGUGCUGCACCGGGUCUCUAAGGACAAGCAAGUGGGGAUCAUCAUAUUGACACGCCUUGUUACGCUCAAAUAAGGAUGAAUGUGAUACCACAGAAGCAAGAACCCUGCUAGUCUCUGAAAUAUCCAGCCUCACGAACCUGUUGGACAAAGCCUGAACAUCCUAAGCUAAUGGUCUCUCCCCAGCUGGAAUAAAAUCAAGGCUCCCCAUACUCUAUGCCUUCCUACUCAAGGUGUCGGCCACCAUAUUGGCCUUCCCGGGAUGAUAAACAAUGGUGAUAUCAUAGUCUUUCGGUAGCUCUAACCACCUCCAUUACCUCAAGUUCAAAUCCUUUUGCUUGAACAGGUGUUGAAGACUCUGGUGAUCCGUACACUUCACAAGACACUCUGUAAAGAUAAUGCCUCCAAAUCUUGAGUGCGUGAACAAUGGCUGCUAACUCCAAAUCAUGCACUUGGUAGUUUUUCUCAUUGGACUUCCACUGACGCGAAGUAUAAGUAAUCACCUUAUCGUCCUGCAUCAAUACACACCCAAUGACAACCCGUGAAACAUCAUAGUAGGUUGUAUAUGAACCCAAUACCGAAGGAAAAACCAAAACUAUAGCUGUAGUCAAGGCAAAAUUGAGCUUCUAAAAGCUCCUCACACUUGUCAGGUCACCUGAAUAGGGCGCCAUUCUAAGUCAACUUAGUGAAAGGGGCUGCUAUAGAUGAAAACCCUCCAUAAAGCAUUGAUAAUACCCAGCCAACCCAAGGAAACUCUAGAUCUCAGUAGCGGUAGAAGAUCUGAGCCAACUUUGAACUGCCUAAAUCUUCUUCGGAUCCACCUUAAUCCCUUCACUGUACACCACGUGACCCAAUAAUGUCACUGAGUCUAACCAAAACUUGCACUUGAAGAACUUAACAUAUAUCUUCUUCUCCCUCAAUGUCUAGAGCACAAUCCUCAAGUGUUUCUCAUGCUCCUCCCGGCUGCGAGAAUUCACUAAUAUAUCACUAGUAAGCACAAUGAUGAAGGAAUCCAGAUAAGGCUGAAACACGUCGUUCAUAAAGUGCAUUAAAGUUGUUGGGCAUUGGUCAACCUAAAAUACAUCACCAAGAACUCAUAAUGGCCAUAACGGGUCCUGAAAGCCGCCUUAGGAAUAUCUGAAGCCCUGAUCUUCAACUGAUGGUACCUCGAUAUCAAGUCAAUCUUCAAAAAUACCCUAGCAUCUUGAAGCUGAUCAAAUAAAUCAUCACUACACGGUAGUGGAUACCUUUUCUUGAUAGUAUCCUAGUUCAAUUGCAUGUAGUCAAUUCACAUUCUCAUGAAAACGUCUUUCUUCUUCGCAAAUAGAACUGGUGCACCCCAAGGUGAAAUACAGGUCUGAUGAAACCUUUAUCUAGCAAUUCCCGAAGCUAUUCCUUUAGUUCCUUCAACUCUGCUGGAGCCAUGCGGUACGGUGGAAUAGAUAUGGGCUGAGUGUCCGUCACUAAGUCAAUACCAAAAUAAAUAACCCUAUCGGGUGGCAUGCCCGAUAGGUCCGCAGGGAACACAUCAGAAAAUUCCCACACCACUAGGAUAGAAUCAACCGUGGGAGUAUCAGCACCCACAUCUCUAAUGAAGGUCAAGUACACCAAGAACCCUUUCUCAACCAUCCAUUAAGCCUUUAGAAAAUAUAACAUUCUUGAAGGAACAUGACCCAAGGAAACCCUCCAUUCUAACCUCGGCAACCCCGACAUAGUCAACGUCACGGUCAUAGUGUGACAAUCAACAAUAGCGUGAUAUGGAGAUAACUAAUUCAUACCCAAGAUCACAUCAGAAUCCACCAUAUUAAGUAAUAGAAGGUAAACCCUAGUCUUGUAACCCCAAUAAUGACCAAACAAGAGUGAUAGACAUACCACAAUUGAAUAUUCCAAUGGGUGUAGACACAUAAACAUAUGUAUCCAAAGAAUCGCGAGACAUAUACAAAUAUGAAGCAAAAUAGGAUGACACGUAUGAAUAAGUAGAAGCUGGAUCAAAUAAAACAAAUGCAUCUAUAUGACAGAUUAGAACAAUACCUGUAAUGACAACAUCUGAUGCAACGAACUCAGCCCUACUAGGGAAAGCAUAACAACGGGCCUGGCCUUCCCCUGUAGGACGCCCUUUACUCGCAUGUCCUCCACCUCUAGCUGGUUGUGCAGGUGUAGUAGCAAUUGGAGCGGGAACCAUAGCCCGAGUACCCUGCUGAGGUCCACCCUUCUGAAGUCUAGGACAAUCUCUCAUGAUGUUCUUAGUAUCACUACACUCAAAACAACCCCUCGGCGGGCGUGACUGCUAGUACUGAUUCUUCUCCAAACUACUGGAGUAACCAUUGUAGGAACCCCGUGCAGAAUGUGCACUGAAAGAUGGUUGUCUGGUAUGAGUACCCUAGGGACCCUAGCUAACUGGAGCACUAUGAGUAACCUGAAGUGCGAACUGAACUGGUCGACUGAUAUAACCUCUGCCAUGACAAAACUUUCCCUCAGAGUAGGAGCCACCAAAUCCUCCAAAAUCAUGAGGCUUCUUGGCCUCCCUAUCCUCACUCUCUUGCCUAGUCUCAUACCUCCUUAUAGUGACCAAACAAGAACGAUAAACCUGAUUCACCACAAUUGAAUCCCAACAGACGUAGACGCAUAAACGAAAGUACUCAAAGAAUCACGAGACAUAUCCAAAUAUGAAGUAAAAUAGGAUGACAUAUAUGAAUAAGUAUAUCCUAGAUCAAAUAAAAUGGAUGUAUCUCUAUAGAAAACUGGAACAAUACCUGUGAUGACCGCAUCAGAUGACUCCGCCUCAAGUCUAGCCGGGAAUGCAUAGCAACGAGGCUGAGCCCCACUAAUCUGAAUUCCACAUAUUGGACGGCCUCUCACUAACUGGCCUCCACCUCUAGCUGUCUGACCUCCUCCUCUGGCUGCUUGACCCUCGCCUCUAGCUGGUUCAGCAGGCGGUGAAUUAACCGGUGCCGGAAUUAUGGCACGAGUACCCUAUUGUGGUAUACUUCUCUGAAGCCUAGGACAGUACCUCAUGAUGUGACCCAUACCUCCACACUUAAAGCACUCUCUCUGCUAACGUGGCUACUGAAUUUGGGACUGACCCUGAUGGUCUUAGUAAUCACUAUGGUACUUUUGAAUUGGCGAUGAACUAAUGGGAGUUGAAUGUGCACUGAAUGCUAGCUGCUCAAGACAAGACCUAUAAGAACCACGACUACCCGAAUCACCAUGUGAUACCUAAAGCACUAACUAAACCAGCUUGAUAGGAUAGCCUCUACUAAAUGAACCCUUGCCUCCAGAUGAGGUACCAUGAAACCACCGAAAUGACGAGGCCUCUUCUCAUAUGCCGUCUCCCUACCCUGGCAACAAAUCCUCUAGAUUCGCCUAGCGAUCUCCACAACUUGAGUGAAACAUAUAUAAUCCUCGGUCUCUAUAGACAUCUGAAGCAUGAUGUCUUAAGUAAGGCCAUUUAUAGACCUCUGCACCAUCUCUCUCUCUAUAGGGAGCAAGAUAACUAUAUGGCGGGAUAAAUCCAUGAAUCUGGUUUUGUUCUGAGUAACGGUCAUGCUACCCUACUGGAGGCGCUCAAACUUAUUACGAAAAGUCCUCUCUCUAGGUGAAGGGGAUGAACUUCUCCAAGAAUAGCUAUGAGAAUUGAGCACAAGUGAGUGGAGUUGAACCUGUUAGUUUUCCCCGGGCAUGCUCCUGCCACCACUACUUGGCAAAGCCAUGCAUAUGAAACACUGCGAAGUCAAAUCCGUUGGACUCCACUAUACCCAUGUUGCGCAAUACCUCAUGGAAAUGGUCCAAUAAAUCCUUAGGGUAUUCAGAAGGUGUACCUCGGCUAACAUUUAGCACGCUGAACUGAUCCAACUGGUGGAACUGCUAGAGUCUGAUAUCCUUGAGCCACCUGCUAUGGAGUGUGAGUAGCGGGAUUCUGGUCUCCUCCCCCAGCCUGAGAGAUGGCUGGUGCCAUAGGGAACUCAUCGGCCUAGGCCACACUCUCCGUAAGGCCAACCAGGCGGACUAGGGCAUCCUAAAGUAGGGGUAGCAAUGAACACCUUUGGUACCUGAGCUGGUCCUACUGCAUAGUCUGAACAAGGAUAUCCUCAUCCUACUCGUUCUGAGGCUCAACAAUAUGUGUUGUUUCGCAUACUCUAGACUGAGCUCUGGCUCUGGCUCUCCAUCGGCCCGUCCCUAACCCCUACCCCUGGCAGUGGCUGCAACCUGGGGCUUCGACUCCUGAUCAAUUGUACAUGUCGUGCGUGUCCUCACCAUAUGCGAUAGAUUAAAAGAAGAAUGAUAUAAACUACAGCGAUAGAAUGAAGUCGCACGAUAGAGAAAGAAAGAAAAUGAAAUUUUCUAAAGCCUUAUAGCUCUAGAAGAUGAGUACAUACAUCUCCUUACCGAUCCUCAAGACUCUACUAAGCUUGCUCGUGACUUGUGAGACCUAGGAAACCUAGUGCUCUAAUACCAACUUGUCAUGAUCCAAAAUCCCAACUACGGGGCCGUGAUGGCGCAUGACAUUCGCUUGCUACGCAAGCCAACCCUAGUCAAACACUUAUCCAGUCUUAGUAAAUUAAAAGCAUACGAUUAAGAAUCUAACUAUGAAAUAUUGGUAAUAUGAUAAAUUAAAACCAAAAAAGUGUUACAUACAAGGUCCAAAAUGAAAUACAACAGUCCGAAUUAAAUAAAUAGUAUAAUUGAUAAGAAGGGCACUUCAGGGUUUACGAACGUCAUGUAGCUCUACCUCAGAUCUCUGGGUAAAUAACAGUCAGAGCAAGCCUCCACUAAAUGCUGUUGUGACCAACACCAUAAUUUGCACAAGAAGUGCAGAAAUGUAGUAUGGUACAACCGACCCCAUGUACUCCGUAAGUGUCGAGCCUAACCUCGAUAAAAUAGUGAGAAGGCUAUAACAACGCAUUCACUAUAAACAUAUCAAGUAUAAGUAAAAAUAAUAGCAGAAUAGAGAAACAAUGAUUAACAUAAGAAUUGGAAAACUAAUACAUAAUAGAGGGCUCCAAACUAGCAUCCAUGCUCAAAUUCACAAUNNNNNNNNNNNNNNNNNNNNNNNNNGGAAUUAAACGAAUAAAGAUAUAAGACAAAUAAAAGUGGCUAUCUAACAACAUACAAGACACAAGGCAAGUAAAGGCAGACAAUAAAUGAAGAUACGGAUACAUGGAAAUAUAUUGCAAAUUAAGGUAUGUAAUGAAUGAAAGCAUGAAUUUAAAAAGUAAAGACAAGUUAACAAUUAAUGCUCUAAACGAGUAAUAACAUGGAAUAAAGAAAGCAUGGUAUAAAUGAAAACACGCAAUUAAGAAGCCCGCCCUGCAUGCUUAUCUUAUGACAACGCAUAUGCACUCCUCACCUUGCAUAUACGCUGUCCCCACACAUAAAUCACAUAGAAAAUAGACCAAUCAAGUCAUAAUUCCAUCAAAUCAAAGUUAACCUAGACACUCCUCUUUUCGAAAUCAAAUCAACAAUCAACCACGACUUUUCCCUUAGAACAAGCCUCCAAGCAAACCUAAUCUAGUCAAAUAUAGUUCAAACAAUGCAAUACAAGAUUUAGAAACUACCCAUGAAUGAAAAGGGUUUAAUAUUUAACUAAAUUAAAAAUGUCUAUUAAAGUCAACCCCGGGCUCGCUUGGUCGAAAUCCCAUAUUCGGACCAAUCAGUGUCUUAGCCUUAUAGUAGUCGGAAAUGUGACAUUAUGUUUGCAUUUGCGAAGGAACACCCACUCGCAAAUGCGAUCCAAGCUUCGCAAAUGCGAAGCUUCUCUACAUAACACAGUUUUGAUAAUGCGACACAAGAGUUGCAAAAGUGAUCACAACAUUUUUUGCAAAAGCGAACCUUUCUUCGCAAUUGUGAAGACCCAUCCCCCAGCCCAUGUUCGCAUGUGUGAACUUGACAUUGCAAAUGUGAGGCUCGGAAUUGUGAUCAAGUUCUCGCAAAUAUGAGACCUGCAACUUUGCACCAGAAAAUACUAAGCAUCAGUUGUUCCAAACUCAACCAUAACAUAUCUGAAACUCACACGAGCUCCUCGGGCUCCAAUCUGAACAUGUACAAAAGUGUAAUAACAUCAUACAAACUCGCUCGCUAUCAUAAAUUAGCAAAAUAACAUCUAGAAUCAUGAAUAAAUCAUUACAAAUAAAGAAUUUCAAUAUUAAAAGAAAAAUUCUAAUCUUCCACAUACUGCACCGAAACACGCUCGGGUAACCCGAGACCUCAACCAAACGUGCGUACAAGUCAAAACAUAUCAUGCAAACCUACUAGAAUCAUCAAAACAUUGAUCUUAGGUUGUUUACUAAGAGCGUUGAAUGUGGUCAACCCAAACCUUAAUUUAAUCCAAAAAUCACAUUUUCUUCAAAAUUUCACAUUAAAAUUUUCGAAAAAUAACACGGACCACACAUGUAUGUAAUAUAACAUCAAAUGAAUCUAUGAGAGAUCUCGAAACAUAAAAAUAAAGGCUAGUUCUCAAAACCACCUAUUGGGUUGUCACACGAAUACACUCCAACCUUCUAGCAAUCUCCACAACCUGAUGGAAUGAAGUCUCAGUCUCCAACUCCCAUGCCAUCCCAAAUCUGAGGCUGUAGGCGAGCCCCUCAAUAAAUCUACGGAUUCUCUCUCUAUCAGUGAAAACCAAGGCAGAUGCAUGACGAGAUAACUCUGUAAAACGCAUGGCAUACACUGACACAAUCAUAUUCCCCUGGCCUAACUUCUCGAACUCACUGCGUAACUCAUCCCUAUCGGUCUGUAGAAUAAACUCUCUCAAAAAAAGAUCAGAGAAUCGGACCAUGUAAGUGGUGUUGCGCCAACUGGUCUACUCGCCUCAUAAGUCUGCCACAAUUUGUAUGUCGGUCCCGUCAACCGGAUAAGUAGUAAGGUUGACCCCGCUCGACUCCACCAAACACAUUGUACGCAGCAUACGGUGACAUUGAUCAAAGAAACCAUGUGCAUCCUUAGAACCCCCGCCACUGAAAUGAGGAGGAUUAUACUUCUGGAACCUCUUUUUCUCCUGAACUGACACAGCUGGCCCGACCUCGGGCUGAACCACAAUCACGGGCUGCACCAGUAUAAUACCUGGAGCCUGAUUAACAUGAGCUGCUCUAGAGUAUGUGUUGCAGGACUCUGGACUCCUCCCCCAACCAGGGAAGUAGUUGGUGCAACCAAAAUCAACCUUGCCUGAGCCAAAGUCCCAAACAUACUCAGAAAGUGUACCAAGGUCUCUUGAAGUCCAAGGGUAGCAACAGGUCCAUCAGGCGCCUUCUCCCCUACCGGCGCUACUGGUGCCGCCUCAGUUGCGGACCUAGCAUGGCCCCUCUCUACGAUGCAUGCUCUGCAUCUACCUCUACCCCGACCUCUAGCAACACUAGCCUUGGGAGAAGUAUCAUCAGUAACUAAACCUCGUGUUCUCACCAUCUAUGAGAGAGUAGAAAGACAAAGGCCCAAAUUCCAAAAUCAAUAAAUCCACACAAUAAGGAAUGAGAGAAGUGAAAUUUUCUUUAUAGUUCCGUAGCCUCUAAAAGAUAAGUACGGACGUCUCCGUACCGAUCCGCAAAAACCUACUAAAAUUGCUCAUGACUCGUAGAACCCAUGAGCCUAUAGCUCGGAUACCAAAUCAGGAUAUAAUAAGACAAGAAUUAAUUUUAAAGCGGAACAUGGAGUUAUUAGAAUUCAAAGGCAAUACUCAAACAUCUCCCUAGAACUAGGUAGUGCAGAGUAAUGAGCUCUAACUGAACCUAUAAGAAAUAUCCAAAAAGAUAAUAUAUUGUUUGAAAGCAAAACUAACACUAUCUAUAUAAGGGAUGAGACUCCAACGGACUGCGACAAAAUGCAAUGCUUCUGUCACGACCCAAAAUCUGACUAGUCGUGAUGACACCUAACCCAACCCAUUAGGUAAGCCAAAUAACAGUAAACACAAUUUAAUAAUAAAAUUAAGAUUCAAAAGUGAAAUAACUAAAUCUUUAUACAACUCUCCCAGGACUGGUAGUACAAGUCAUGAGCCACAAGGACUUAAAUUUACAAACUGAAAUGAAAAAUGAGACAACAUCUGUUUGAAAUGUACAUGAACAAAAUCUCAAAUCUAGAACUACCAAGAACUAAUGGUAGCGAAAUAUGGAAUGCGGGUACAUCUUCAAUGCCAGCUCCCGUCAUUCACAUCAAUAUCGACUCCAAGAUUUGCACACAAGGUGCAGAAGUGUAGUAUGAGUACAACUGAUCCCAUGUACUUAAUAAGUAUUCUAACUAACCCGAGUGAGGUAAUAGAAGCAAGAAUCAUAAAUGAUGCUCGUUAUCACCUGUAUAGUUCAUAAUUUCAACAAGUAUAGAACAUAUAUAUGACAAAAUCAGGAAAUCUCAGGUAAAACCACCUUGGUGCUCACGAUUCUUUAUUUUAAAGUGUUCUGCUCUACAACCCAUCCUUUAAGGAAGAUAUGCGAGUAAAUCAGGUAAACAGUCAAGAAAAUUGAAAGUAAAGAUGAAAUGCAAUAACCGCAUAAUAGUAUGUUGCGGCGCGCAACCCGAUCCAAAUAAUAGUAACCAUCUCUCCCAGAGCUCACAUCAACUAGAAACCCGUCGGUUUCUCACAAUCCACGUAUACACCAUCAAUAGAGAAAUAUGAGAUGGUGACUCUAGGGGAUGGAUCUGUAUCCACACGCUGCACGGACAACUCAUGUGCUAAUAAUAUCAAUCGCACGGACAACUCACAUGCUGCAUGGAUGACUCACACGCUAAUAAUAUCAAUCCGCAUGGACAACUCAUGUGUUGAUGUCACAAUCCGCCUGGCGUGGUCACAGACACAGUAUCAUAAUUCGCCCGAUAUGGUCACAGGCAUAAUAAUAGAAUCCAUCUGACAUGGUCACAUGCGUAACAUCACAAUCCGUCCGGCGUGGUCACAGACAUAACAAUACAAUCCACAUGGCAUGGUCACAGGCAUCCAGUCCAAAUCUUAUCAUACAGAAGCACAUAUACAAGAACACAUGUAUAUGAUGAAUGAAUAUCAGAUUUCAUGCUCCUUGUCACGUCCUAAAAUACCCCCUAGACGCGAUUGGCAUCCAACUAACACUACCUGCUAAGCGAACCAGCUUAUACCAUACACUUAGCAUUUAUUCAAAACUCAACCUCUUAUAAAUGCAAGUUCUUAACAUUUCAAUAAUUAAAUGUGAUUGAUGAAUAAUCCAAAUUGUUCCAUAAAUAUUUAUUUAGCCCAAAUACCACACUAGACUAUGGAGCAUCUAAGAGAAUUACAAAAGACUCAAGAUCGAGUGUGUAAACCCCAAAAUAAAAGACAUUAUAAAAUAAAUAAUAAAGACUCUUUUGGCAGCUUCCACGAACAAUGCGGUGGCACACCUUAAUAAUUAGAUCAACUCUAACGAACUCGACAGCUACUAGCUUCGUCUCCACGAAUAGUAUAUGCAUCGACAUGCAGGUAAGGAGUGAGUUAUAUUUGAAAUAGUAAUAUCCUUAACCCAUCACUUUAAAUACCCCUAGAACAAGUGUUAGAAAAUAAAAACACACCAAAGCAAAUAUGACAUAUAAUACAUACUAUAACUAUACAACAAUGCAAUAAUAUGUAUCAAUAGAGUUAACAAGGAUUAACAAAUAUGAAUACACAUAUCUCAACACAAUACACACAAAGGACUUGUAAUAAACGGAAGUGAAGCAAAUUAACUAACACCCCGACAAGUCCACGACGGCACCACAAUGCCUCAAAUAUAUGACAGAGCAUACACAAUGCCCACUGAAGCAUAUAAAAUGCCUCAAUAAUAUUAAGAAGCAAACACAAUGCUCGCGUGAUGUACAAAAGCAUACACAAUGCUCCAACAUAAUGGCUCGCAGCUGUAUCAAAUCAUCAAACCCAAUAUCAUGGCUCACAGUCGUAUCAAACUAUCAAACCCAACAUCAUGGUUCACAUCUGUAUCACACCAUCAAACCCAACGUCAUGGCUCACAGCCGUAUCACGCCAUUAAAAAACUUAUAAAAUAAUUUUUAGUGCUUUUCAUAAAAAUAUAUAUUUGUGACUAGUCCAAGACUAUCGAUUCUACUAAGCACACGCUUGUCCCAACACAUGAACCAGGCAGACAAAACACAUUUUCACAACGGAUUUUGGAAAAUUAAGCAUUAAAGCUUAAAGUCCCACUUACCUCGCAAAUGGAAAGUCCUCUAACCUUGCGACGUUAAAAAAAAAAACAACCAAACUGCCUCCAAAGACCUUAAUCUAUAAAAAUAUUGACUAACGAAGUCAAUUAUGCUAGUCGAGGUUAUUUCAUAAUUUUUGGAAUGUCAAAUAAAAGGCAACUAAAAAGUCAACUUCAUGUUAAUAUGGUCAAAUCACGACGUGUUCGAGUUACCCAUAAGUUGAAGAAUCCAAAUCUAUUUUCAAGUUUCAAUUUUUAUGUAAAUUGAUGGGUCAACUCUCAAUUCUGUUAUACUUUAAGCUUAGACCUAAGUUUCAAUAUUCUGUACCUCAAUCCAUGAGUUUAAAAGUAAUUUCACAUAUUUCAAUAUCACAAAUUACACCCAAUAUCCAAUAAACAAUUCAUGUUUAACAGUAUUCAUGUUUUAAAGUAAUAAUUACAACAUAAAAAGUACUCAAAUACCUUGUGACUUGCCGACUGCACAACUGAAAUAGAAGUUUCUUUAGUUCCUUUCAUUGAUCACUGACGCCACAUUGAUUGAUCCUUAUUACCCCAAAAUUCUACUUAGUUGAUGAUAAUACCAAGUGUUAUACAAGUAGCAGCUAUGGUCUUUCCUAAAUUUCAGUUUAGCCGUCUAAUGAUUUUCGAUAAUUUUCUGUUUGUGUGAUUUUAGUUUUUUAGGAACCAAGACCUUAUUUACCCAACAAGAAUAACAUUGAUUCUGCCCAAUUCUUCAUCCUUAUAUAUUAGAAGAAUUAAUCCAAAUAGUCGACCACCCUACAACUUAAACUAAAAAUAGCCAGCGAAUGUAUAUUAGAUGCAUAAUUUAUAUAUUAAAUGUGUAUAAUUAUGUAUAAUCAAUGUAUAAUUUAUGUAUAAGGUUUAAAAAAGUAAACAAUUAAUUUGGACGGCUAUUUGUGUAAAAAAUCCCUAUAUAUUAUCCAGAUUUAUUUUAUUGCCCAGCUAAUACGUACACAUGUAAAUAGGUCCAAAAAUCACUUAUAUAACUCACAUCACAUAAUUUAUAUUCCUCAAUAUACAAAUAAUAUUAUUUCUACAUGUAAAUACAUAUCUAGGCACAUACAUGUAAAUAAUAAUUAUAAUUAUCUCUAUAAGAAUUUCUAAUAACAUUAUUAGAAUAACUCUAAUAACCAUAAUACUAUUUGCAUGAAUUCCACUAUCUCAACAACUUCAUAGGAUUAAAUCAAGCGACGAAAACAUCAUAGUUAGAGGUGCACCUCUCAAAUAGAUGCUGGUAGCUACUAUGCUUGCCUACCUCAGACUUGAGUGUAUCUUCUCUCAUCGGAUGGUUGCCACAAUGUAAUACCUCAUAAUUUAAAGGACACAAUAGUCAUUUAGCCAAAAUAAUUGAACCAAAAAAAAAAAA